rnacentral:lncRNA from 1 species
UAGAACUUAAAGUCCACAUUUAUAAACAAAGAAAUUUCCACAUUAAUUAUGUGCAAAACCCAAUGCUGCCUAUAGGAUAUUGGAACUACUUGGUAUUACAGAUUACUGCAAUACAAAAAACACUGAUCAUGCUAGCAUACAUGUUUGAUUCCCAAUAUUUUGCCAGUUGGAACAAUUAGAUUGGUUCUGUUCCAUUAUAAGUUAGAUGUGAGAUGGCAGAGGCUCCCUGUUGUGAUCACUAAUUGGUUCCAUUGUAUUUUCAAUGUAAAGACCAGAUUCCUAUAAGUUCAAAUAGUGCAAGAACAAUAUAACAAGCUAACUGAAAAUGUCAUCGAAGUCAAAAAAUGGAGAAAAAUGAGUAAAACUUACCAGAUGAUUGGAUGGCUCGCAAGCAAAACUAUGUGAGGUUUCUCGAAAGUUAUCUUGGCAAAUGCAACACUGCUUUUUUGACCACCUAUUUAUAUGGGAAAAGAACCAUGUUAUAUGUGCAAUAACAUUCAAAAAGCCUCAGAGAAAGUACACAGUGAACCGCAAUUUAGAUUACAAAUUAACUCACCUCUAAAAGAGGUUCACGAUCUCACACAAAAAUUGCUUCAAUAAAAAAUUUACAUAUGCAACAGUAGCAGAGAGGGAGGAGAUGUAUCAGACAAGGUUUGCAUUCGUUGAAGUGCAAGAUUUCCAGUUACACCAAACAAACACAAGUAAGCUCGAAACUUUUGUUCUGCAACUGCCCACACGAAAAAUGCUACAUAAGAUGGUAUUUUCAGAUAAAAUAACAUAAUGUAAGACAAAAUAAUAUUCCACAUUAGAGUAAACGCACACAACUGAUACUUUAAAGAACUGAAUAGAUUUCCCCCAGAGCUCACUGCUGACAACACAAUCACAGAAGUAGGUAGCAUAUCAUUUCAAUCUCAACCAAACAAGCAUAAGUAAAUUGUCUAAAAAUUUCUUGCAAGCUUUUAGUAAUAGUUCCUAACCCACCAGGGAUCAAGACCCAAGCGGAAGGUGAUUUAUGGGAUAUCAAUGCUGUCAUGAAUUGGUGUGGCAUUGAAAGGUUGGAGCCAUGAGGCGCCCCAGAAUUUUAUGGCAGAUUGACUGGUUAAUACUACGAAGGAUCAUCAUCAACAAAAAGAAGGUUCUCGAUGAUAAUGGAAACCAUUGAAAAAAAGGGGAAGUGCAUCCCUUUGCUUCGCAAUCAUAUCACAGCAUCCACAUAACUAAUCACUGUUUUUAGAUUCUAGAAAAGGUUAUUCUUAUUUAGAUCAUAUUCACUAGAAGAAAAUUUAGAACAUCUCAGCGCACCAAAUAAAAUUAAAUGCUUCUUUUUUCUUUUAUUUAAUUGCAAAAAGUGACACUUAACAUUGACAGCAUUAGCCCCACCUCAACAGCAUUCACAAGUGAUCCUUCCAAGAGAUUUUUCCAGUACAGAUCACAGUGGUAUCUACAAAGCAACAACAGUGAAUGAGCUUAAGGGCACAAGAAAAAAGAAGUUGGGAAGAGAACAUACAACAAAUGCUGAAAAUGCAGAGGAAUAUGAUUGUAGAACACUAUGAUUCUUGGUGAUUCUCACACAAAGCAUAGUGCAUUUUGAUUUACAAUUUGUUUGGUAGGUCACUCAAGUGCAAAAAUAAGCACAGUUUUUGGGCAUCAAGAAGAGUUCAAGAUAUGUCAUCAAUAUAGGGAGAUGCAGCUUUGUGAACAUUUCAUUCUACAUAUAUCAAUCUUUCACCUUCAGCGGCUGGUUUGUGAAAAAUCUGAACGAGGAAAAUCAGUUUGUAUCAAGCAUCAAAUUGAAGAACCGGCUUCACCUCAUCCGGUGGGUGCUCAUAACUCCUCAAACCUCCAGAGCUGGUGAAGCAGCAUCCUGAGUUGGAAAAGAAGGCAACGUUAAAGGUGAACGAUUUGGCGCUCAAAAACCGUUGGAAGAGCAACAUUGUAGGUGAAAAUGAACAAAUCGAAACAUGCAUACAGGUAAAGAACACCAUUUUAACCAUAAAUUAUAAAUUUAGGUUCAGAACCAAUUUUUCCAAUAUGAUAUUACCCCACAACAUAACAUUCUCCUCUGAACUCUGCUUAAUCUCAGCAUAGCUCAUCCAUCCUUACUUUUCACAUUGCAAUGCAUGGACCGAACUCCAGUGGAGCCGCAUCAACAAUCCAAAAAAAUAAUCACCUUUAGGGAAUGGAGCGAAAGAUUUCCCACAGCCCAUCUUCACGAAUUCUGCAUCAUCCGAGAGAACAGGAUUGCCCCCAGAAUCACUUCCCCAGAAGAAAGCACCACUUCCAUCAACAUCCUGCAUGGUUCAGAGAAUCGAAAGGAUUAGAUAUAGAUUGCAGGUGGAGGGAACGAUUGAGAGUGAUAUCCCAGAACGAAACCAAUGAACAUUAUUAUUACUCACAGAGUCCUGAAAAGCGGGUUUUAGAAGAGCUGUCGAAGAGCACAAAACCAAACUUCCUGCUGAUAUCUCUCACAACUUGAUCAGCAGGGUAAGGCCUCCGAUCCCUCAGAGUUCUAUAAGCUUCUAUGACAAUCAUGACCUCAUUAGCGGUUUUGUUCUAUUCAUAUUGCUGCUUACGAAGAGCUACAUUCUCUGUGUCCUUGGAACAAGCAGAAGAUAUCAUUGACAACGGCAAGCAAUCUGCCACACAGGGUAAGACAUGUCAAAUCUCGAUGGGGGAUAAACUAAUCGAGAAGAGAAGACAGUAGUGCAAUCCCCGUCAAUUAACAAUCCAAUAAAUUUCAUUUUCUGGCUUUCAAAAUGAGCUAGAGACUCGAGUUCCAAUAUCAGUCUGUAUUACGCAUCGAAUUGAGGGAGCAGAAUCAAAAUUGAUGCCUUGAAAACCAAAAACAUACCCGAACCCAAGAAAACUUACAUUACAUCAAAGAAUGAAUCCCGGCAGUUAACAAAUCUAUCAUCAUGGCUCGGGCAUGAUCGAUUUUACUUCAUUGGAUCCGAAUGCUAUCAAUGCUGAUGAAAGGGAUUUCUUGAAGGGAGAGAGAGAGAGGGCCAUCCUCUGGCAAGUACCCCAACUUCACAUCCAUAUAUGAAAAAAAAUUGUCGGGAUUGAGGCCCAAACAGAAACAGAGGAGGCUGAAUUAAUUGUUGUUCGAAAGAGCAUUGCAGUGGCUAAAGAGAAGAGCCGGCCCAAGGUAGUAGUGGACAUGGAUGCAGCUGUGGCAUACAAGAAUAUCAUCAUCAUCAUCAUCAUCAACUUUCGCAAGCCAGUGCACUUGGAGACUAAACGAAGCUCUUGCUGGAUAUUCAAGCAGCUAAUUAUCAAUUUUUCAGCUCUGAAUUUCAGUCGUACUUCACGAAAAGCAAACGUCUGCGCGCAUCGGAAGAAAUUACUUCGUAUUAAGCAUCGAACUAAAGAACAGAAACACGAAAUCGAUGCAUUCAAGACGAAAGGAAUUACCUGAACCCUUACAAAUCUGACCGUAGAUGGAAGGGAUUGAAUCGCGGCAGUUAGCAAAUGAAAGCGAAAGUGGAUCGAUUUCACUUCAUCGGAUCUGAGAACCCAAUCGAUGCGNNNNNNNNNNNNNNNNNNNNNNNNNNNNNNNNNNNNNNNNNNNNNNNNNNNNNNNNNNNNNNNNNNNNNNNNNNNNNNNNNNNNNNNNNNNNNNNNNNNNAGCUUUUUGACGUACAUAUUGUGAGACAAAUGAUGCAUAACGAGCUUUCUCUUUAAAAGUAGCAUCAUCUUCAUCACUCACUACCUGAGACUCCUCUACCCGAGACUCCCUAGAGGUAAAGCAUGUCUUAUCUGCAAUUGACUUCGCUAGAUCAUUCAAAAGAUCAUGCAUCAAAAACUUCGAUGUGUCAAUAUUAGAUUGUUGAAAAAAGGAUCUAGAUACUAACUCAUCGAAGUAUUUCCUUCCUGAUCUCAAGAUAUUCUCUUUUGCUUUUCGUCCAUCUAAAAAGCCCUCCGUUAUCCAUAAGAGCACCACCUCGUCCCUCUCAAAUUCGUAGUCCUUUGGAAAUACUGCACAAUAAGUAAAACAUCUUUUCAAAUAAGAAGGGAGAUGGACAUAACUCAAUUUCAAAGCUGGAAGAACCUCAUCGUUUUUUGCGGAUGCUACAUCCCAUAUUCUAUUAUUUAAGAUAACUUUCCAUUCGUCUGGAUUCUCUUUAUUACGUAGGAGACCGCCCAAUAUCUUCGCUGCCAAAGGUAAACCUCUACAUUUUUCAGCUAUUUUCUUGCCUACUAAUUCUAGAUGUGGGUGCCUCUCGAAAUUUCUUACUUCCAAAGCGUGAUAGGCUAAUAAGCUGGUACAAUUAUCAACAGACAACUCCUUCAAAGGAUAUGGCGAAGCUCCUGUUAUGGAAACCACGGGAUGGUUGCGUGUCGUGAUGAUGAUCUUGCUUCCCUUAGCCCCCACUUCAAAUGGCUUUAAGAGGGAAGUCCAUUCUCCAUACUUCUCAUUCCAGACAUCAUCUAAGACCACAAGAAACUUCUUUCCUGAUAGAUGAUCUUUUAAGUUAACUUGAUGCUCGUUAAGAUUGUUGCCCUUGCAGGGCAACCCAGUUAUUGAUUGUAAAAUAGUCUUUGUUAUGUCGACAACAUCAAAAACAUCCGAAACACAAACCCAUGCUUUCCUCUCGAAAUAGCUAUUCAUUUUGGGAUCAUUGUACAACCGUUGAGCCAUAGCUGUCUUUCCAACACCGCCCAUCCCAACUAUGGGGACUAUGCUCAGCCCGGCAUCGGAAUUUCCAACCUCACUGAUCAAUAGUUCCAGUAACUCCGCUUCUUCCUUCUCCCUGCCGAAAAACCGAGUCUCCGGCAAAGAAGUGCUAGGGAGCCUUUUGUUGGUGUAGUUGGAUAUGUCCGCGGCAUUCUCUCUCAAGGUCAGACGAGCCUUCCUAGUGACAAUAUUUUCCAACCUGCCACUGAUCUCUUGUACCUUAGUUUCAAACGAGCACGAGUUCAGAUUCGAUCUGGAUGAUCCAUCUUGGCCCCAGGAAAAGAAUUUCCACGAGUUCAGAUUCGAUCCGGAUGAUCCAUCUUGGCCCCAGGAAAAGAAUUUCCACGAGUUCAGAUUCGAUCCGGAUGAUCCAUCUUGGCCCCAGGAAAAGAAUUUCCUUUUCUUCUGAUCUCUGCUUGCGCUGGACUCUGCCCCAGACUUAACUUGAGUGGCUUCAAUCGCGAACUCAUCGAGCAAGUCUUCCAUGUCAUAGGCCAAGUCCCUAACAUCAUCCAGCCACAGCUUCACUAGACGGUUACCGCCCAACUGCUUGUCCUCUGCAUCAUCCAGCACCACGUCGAUUGUUUCCAGCAUCCCCUUCCACUCGUUGAGUAAAGCAGUGUUGAUUCCUUCGCGUUGUGCAUAUUCCAAUCCCAGAGAAGUCAACUUGUCGCAGAGGACCUGAAAGAAGGAACCCAAAAAGAUCUCUCCAAUGGCCAUGGGUGAAUCAGUCACUGCAGAGAACAACAAGGGCAAUGGCGAAGCAAAAUGAGAGUGAGCUAAUGGAGAGAGAAAACUAUGAAAGUUCAGGAAGACCAAGGCUUUUUUCCUGCCUAAAAGGACCGAACGAAGAUGAAGACUUUUAAGGACGAUUUCUGUCCACAAGGGUGCUUGUUUCACCUCCCAUUUGCAUUUUUUUCUUUUUUCAGUCAGGCCCAUAUAUUCGUACUUUCCGCUAUCAUUUAUUUGUUUUCGUAAUUUAAGCAUAAACUCAGGAAGACCAAGGCUUUUGUGGACAUCAUGUAGUUUUUUUUUGUCUAGAAAGUGAAGCAAAUGUCAAACCGAAAAGCAAUAAAAUCCAGUAACACUAAGACUUUGCAGGACACAAAUGCCUUUGUUGCUUCACUUUUCAUGUCCCUCGUCUUCCAUCCCUAUGCGAAUAUCUUGUUUUCCAUUACUAGUAGAAUUUCCAUGCAUUACUGUUAAAAUUUACAAUACUAUAAUUUUCAUCCAACCCUUUUCAUGUUCAUUUAUCUUGUGAUAUUUCAUCAUUAAUCUCUAUUGUACCUGUCUAUUAGAAUUAUGUCUAAAUUUUCAUUUAUCUUUUCAAAUUUAAGUUCAACAAAAGAAAAAAAAAAAGCAAAGAGAAAAACAAAAAGAAAAAUACAGCAAGAAACAAAAAAAUAAAAUAAAAAUGCCGGAAUGGGGAGAGAGAGAGAGCACUACCAGUCUCACGGUCAUUGCCCUGCCGCUGGGCCGUCGACUUCCGACGUACCAUUUUAUAGUCACAUUUGUAGACAAUGUUUUUCGUCAAAUGCUUUUCUUAGAGCGGUUUAGGAGUUAGGGAUAAUGACAUAGUAAGCUAAGCUUGUGUUCAGCUUACAAUCGAAUACCUACACUUCUUUUUAGGCGAUAUUUGUUCUACAAACUCAUCCUUUGGAUUCAUUGCUCGGUUUCACUUAAAUUGUUUUUGUUUUUUUUUAUAUUUUUCAUUCUUUCAUGUGAAAGAGAAUAGGAAAUACUUUCGAUAAUUUCACGCCAUUGCAAAAAGAUUUUAGCGGCUAAAUGUCGAGCACACUUGGAAACUAUAAAAUUCUCAAUGUUAAUUUCUUUAGAUUAUCUUCUUGAAUAAUUUCAAUCAUAAAAUUUGAAAAAUAACGUAUUAUUCUUAUCCACUUUUUUGGCCAAUUCCAUUGCUUUCCCUUUCAUCUCCUCGCCCAAAUCAACAAAAGUAUAUGCUCAGAUAGUUUGGUGCACACUUGAAUGUAAUUGGAGAUUUAAAAUAUAUUUCUAAGUCUAAAGCACUUCUUUUCUUCCACUCGAAAUAUUUUAGUGGCUUAUCAAACAUUUGAUUGAAGACAGACUUUUUCUACGUACUUGAUUUUUUGUCGAUUAGACAUUAUGUCAAUAAAAAAUAGUAUUACAUGUACCGUUCACGCACACAUAAUUUAAAACUUUACUAUGAUUUCUUUUAUUCAUUUGAAGCCGUUGGCACAUUUAUAUGUUCUUGGUUUAUCUACUGGUCUACCAAUUACAACUAAUUUGCAUGAUAGUCUUUUUCGUAGAUAGCAGUUUGUAUAUUUUUCUGUAAGCCAAUAAAUAUUCCCUCAAUUUCUUCGUCAUGUAUUAUUUCUAGGCAACUCAGGGGAUAAUUAUCCUAAAUAUCGUAAAUCUAUUGGACAAUCACCAAUUCAAUCCUAAACUUUUCAAUUUGAUCAAUUUAGUUCUCAACUUGUUAAUGAUUUGCUACUGUAGUUUUUCGAGCCAAUUGUGACUUAAAAAUUAUUGAUAUAGAUGCUAACCAUCCUAUGUAGUAGUAUGAUCAUCAGUUCAGUGCUUCAAACAAAAAAUGAUUAUUUAUUGAUAAAUCGUAAAAAAAAUUAAAACUAAAUUACUUAAAUUGAAAAGUUUAGAAUAUAAUUUUUUAUAGUAUAAUAUUUUUUUUUUGGUAAAGGUAAUAAUAUUAAUGAGAAAGGACAAAAGUACAAAAGAUCGGAUCCAAACAAGCACUCUUAACAAAAGAGCAAGAGUGACGGGGAUCCGAUAAAAAGCCCGAGGGCGCCAGCAAGAACACAAAAGCUAUGAAGCCAACAAACAAGACGUAACAACAGGAACCCGUAGCCUCCCCAGCCCUCAAGCCCUCAAAGCUGAAAGCGGAGAACGGAGGAGGCAGGAACCUGCAACUACAAGAACAAGAGCAGACCGAACAACAGCAACCUAAGGAGGAAUAGCUACAGAGGAAAUGAUCAUGGGGUUGAAUCCCCACCCCCUUUGCAGUCUUCUGUUCCUUGGAGAAGGAAGAACUUCCGUGAAUGUGAGUGCUUUGUCCUUAACCACCUUGAUUAGGUGAUUUUUAAGAGCAGGGACCACCAAAGAUUCACCCCCGAAGAUAAUCGCAUUCCUCUUCUUCCAAAUGAGAUGGCACAAAACACCGAAAGAGAAUCAAAUUAUCCUGUGGUAAAAAUCCUUCCCCAUAAGGAAUUUCCUGGUAGUAUAAUAUUUUUAUGACUUUUUUGGACAAUUUUGUGGGCAAGUCAGGUACAUAUGUCAAAAGUAUUGAAGCAGUAAUGAUGUUUUCCUGCGACUAGGCUACAAGCGCUCUGUCAUCCAUUGAAUUUUGGGUGCUUUUCACAUGAACGCUGGUGGUUAGAAGAAUCAAAAUGAUGUACUUUUUGUCCACAAGUGCUUCUUUCGUAGUUUGCAGAGGACAUCUACAGAGACUUUAUUGCAUAUCACGUGCUUUUUUGUCUGGAAAGUGAAGCAAAAGUGAAGGACGUAACAGGAAAGAAACUUUAAUAGAUUCCAAGAAGAGCAAGACUUUGGCUAUGUAAAUGUCUUGGUCAUCAUUACAAGUGCCACUUUCACGAGUUAUAUUAACAUUAAUCUAUUCUUUUUUCUUUUUUCUUUUCUCAUUUUUCAAAUUUUGCUCAAUUUGAGGUGUCCGUCAUAUAAAUUGCCAUGUCUUGACAUUGUUCGAUUAACCUACAAGUUCGACGAUGAGGAGAGAGAGUGUACGUUGCUUAGACAAUCUUGGCAUAAAUUGUUUUUGCUAACGUGACAACAUCUCAAGGUACCAUAUCGACACCAAUAUAGACAUUUAACAAUUAUUUAACAGCGCUAGUCACCAUGUCAACCUUUUACAUCCGAAAUUAUAACAAAGACCUCACUUUAAUCUACAUUUGAAAAAUUGAGGUAAUUGAUUAAACCAUAAAAAGUUCAUAUACUUUAUUACGAAAGGGAUAACAAUUCAGAAACUCACGACUUCAUUGUCCCAAAAAGUUUAUCAUACAAUCAUUGGUCUAGGUUAAAUCUCACAUGUACUUUUGUUUAUGCGAUAUCUUUUCUACAAUUUUAUCCUCUCAAUUCAUUGCUUGGUCUCCCUUUAAUAAUUUUCUUUUGUAAGAUUAUUCAUUCUCUCACGUGAAAGACAACGGGAGAUAUUUUUGUUAAUUUCACACGCCAAAAGAUUUUAGGGGCUAAUCGUCAAGAACAUUCAAAGACUACGAAGUUUGUCAAUGUCCAUUUCGUUAAAUUUCCUUUCGUUUAGACUACUAAGUACUAAUGAUACCUUGGCACAAAAUUAGGUUAGUGCAUUUGACGAUUUAUUUUGUUAUGGGUAGUUAUAUUUGGUUCAAGUAUGCCAAGUUCUAAGGUUUGAGUAAUAUUUGGAAACACUCACUUCAGAAACAGUUCAUUUUAUUCUAAUUCCUAAUUUUUAAUUACAUGUAAUCUGAAUAAAUGCGCCCAAUGUCUUCGUCUGUGCGUAGCAUGUGUAUGAACAUUAAUAGUCUAAUUUAAUUUCAUAUUUCAUAAUCAAUUGACCUCACUAAUUGGGUUCAUAUCUAAAUAGAUUUUUGGAUUAUAUCAUCUGUUUUUUAAAUUAAUAACUUUUAGGAAAAGGGAAAUAUAAUUAUUGAUAGGGCUGAUCAUGGAGGACUGACCAACUUAUUGAAUUACAUAUAUAUAUAUAUAUAUAUAUAUAUAUAUAUGCGUACGUAUUUUUUAAAUUAUAUCUUCCAAUUCAGGAACUCAUGAACAACAGUUGAAAUUGUCCACAACUUAUUGAAUUUUUUCUAUCUUUUUUCUUAGUUCUAUAUUUUUUGAAGCAUGAGUGAGCUAAUGGAGAGAAGAUAUUAUUUAGUCCAGGAAGACCAAGACAUUUACCUACCAAAAACAUUAAACAAAGAUCAAGCCCAAGCCUCUUUUUUUUUUUAAUGCAUCUGUACAUUCUCAGUAACCUUAUAAUUUCAAUAUCUUCGUUUAAUGUGUUAUUGGUGAAUAUGCAAUCAAUGUAAGCUUUUACAUGGCAAUUACGAUGCUAAAGAUUUGUAGCAAGAACGGGCAGUGAUGAUCUUCUAAAGAGCGUUGAGGUAGUAGUUGAUGAUCAAGAACCACUUGAUAGGAGGAUUGUGGCCCUUUGCAUGAUUUUCCUAUUCAUAAGUGUGAUGCCUACAGUAUAUCUGGUACACUGUAUUGUUAGUUGGUGAUGCCUGACCCCUUUUCUUGUCUAGCAAUGAAUAAAGCUAACCAUAAUUGAUACGAUUGACAAAUAAGCAUCUAUGUACUACUUGCACGGACUGAAAUAAAUGUUAACAAUUCACCUAACAAUCACAUCUUACUUUCUAUUAUACAUCUGCAAGUCAUCAAAGACAACUUAUUUUGAUUGUUUGAUAAGGAGAGUAGAAACACGUGCCUUGGGCUAAACAGAAAAAAAGAGUCGGGUACACCAACAAAUCCAUGAAACAAGUUUUCUAAUUUAACCCUAGAAAUAGUAAAUGACUGGCAAAUCACCAACUAAUAUAUCAAGCAAGUUGCUUAGCAAGUUGCUUUGGGCUAACUCUUUCUACUCAAAGGACCACGAUUCUCCUAUCAAGUGAGUCACAAUCAUCACAACUACUUCAGCACCCUUUAACAGGUCAUUGCUGCCCAUUUUGCUGCGAAUUUUUAGCACUAUAGCUGCCACGUAAAAGCCUAUACUAAAAAAAAAAAAAAAAAACCAACAGAAUAUUUGUAAGUUAUAAAUUUUUAUGAAGAUAUGCAUGCCCUCGAAGUUGGUCGUGUGAAGAAAUAUCAUCACUUAUCCUCUGUUUUGGAUGGCCACAAGAAAAGAUUUCUUUAAAACGACAACCGAAAAUCUUGAUAUAGAGAAAAAGGAGAACAAUUGAUUUAUCUAACUCAAGGACCCAAUGUGCAUCAAAACAUGGUCUCUUCGAUCUAACCCAAAUUGAUGGUCGUCAUAGUACACUCAUAAAGUACUUUUCACAGGGAAGACCAAGACUUUACCCAAGAUGCAAAUUGGCUUCAUUACUUCACUUUUCACAUCCCUCUUCUUCCAUCCCUAUGUGAAUAUCUCUAUUUGCAUUACUUGUAAACUUUUCACGCACUACAUGUCUUGCUUAAAAUUAACCAUACUAUAAAUUGGUAUAAGAAAGAAGCUAAGAAGGAACCCAAAAAAUCUCUCCAAAGGCCAUGGGUCAACCAUAGAGAACAACCAAGAGUUAUGGCGAAGCAAAGUGAUAAACGAAGACUUUCAAGGACGCUUUCUAUCCACAAGUGCUCUGUCCAUGUAGAUAAACCACAAACUCAGCAAGACAGACUUUAUUGGACAGCAUGUACUUUUUUGUCUAGAAAGUGAAGCAAAAGCGAAAGAGAGCAAUUGAAAAAAGACAGACUUUGCACAAUGCAAAUUGGCACUGUUGCUCCACUUUUCACAUCCCUCCUCUUCCAUCCCUACGAGAAUGCCUUUGUUUUUUUCAUUACUAGGAGAAUUUCCCCACGCGUUUUAGGCCAUGCUUAAAAUUGACCGUUACUAUAAUUUUCAUCCAACUCUUUUUUUGUGCUAAAUCGUACUGUGAUUUUUCAUUCAAUAAUCUCUUUUGUACUUCUCUAUUAGAAUUAUGUCUACAUUUUCAUGUAUCUUUUCAAAUUUAUGUUCAAUAAAAAAAGAAAAAAAUCAAAGAAAAAAUAUAUAGAAAAACCAACUAGAACUUAAGAAAGGGGGAAAAAAGCAAGAAUGAUGUUAUUCUUAAAGCGAUUUAAGAGUUAAGAAUAAUGAUAUCGAAAGUGCCUAACCUCUUUUUUAGUUUACAAUCAAGUACCUGAAGUCUUUUUCUCUUUUUCAAUCAAGAACCUCAAUUUUUCAAAUUUGGCUCUAUUUGAGGUAUUGGCUAAAUAAAUUGCCAUGUUAUGUAAUAUUGUUGACAUGACUCGUUUACUCAGCAAAAGUUAAAAAUAAUAAUUGACGUGGCUACUUACCCUUUGAUGAGGAGAGAGAAAGUGUGUUGACUUAGAUGAUAUUAGCAUCUAAUAUAUCUCAAUUGACAUGGCAACAUGUCAAAAUUUAGGGUUGAAUUAGUUGUUAUAUAAUAAAUUUAUUGAUUUUUUAGAUAACUUUUCAUAAAGUCAUAUUCAUAUAGUAGUAAUGAUGCUUUCUUGGGACAAGGCUAUAGCACUUUGUCAUCCAUUUAAUUUUGGGUGCUUUUCACGCGCACGUCAGUCAGAGGAAUCAAAAUAAAAUACUGUUUACCCACAAGUGCUUGUUUGGUAAUAUUAAGAGAAUUUCUCCAAAGACUUCAUGGAUACCAUGUGCUUUUUUUUUUUUUCUAGAAAGUGAAGCUAAAGAGAAAAAAGAGGUAAUAGGAAAGAAACUUCAAUAAAUUCCAGAAAGACCAAGACUUAGCAGGACACAAAUUGAAGUUUGUUGCUUCGCUUUUCACAUCCCUUCUCAUGCAUCCCGUGAGAACGUCACUUUUCAUGGUUUACUAUUUACCCAUCAUCCUCUCAGAUGUGGUUCGGCGCUGCUAGCUAAGGGUAAUUACUGUUGCUCCGCCAAUGAUUGUUAAUGGGGGAUAUUUUACUUCGUUUUCUCUUUCUUUCUGAUUUCUUCAUUCAAAAUGAAUUUUGCACCCUAUGGUAUAGUAAGCAAGAAAAAACAUAUUUGGACAUAAAAUGCAAAGCAAUUUCUUAUGGUUAUCUUAUAUGGAAAGUGUUUUUUUUGACAGAGUAUGUACAUAAGAUAUAUUGAGCAACAAACCCCACGAAUGUGUGUUGGGGAAGAUCAGUUAAGGUGGAUUGCAUAGAUCAAAUGCACAAGAAAAUAAUUGCAUUUAGACAUCUAAUCAGCGGGAAUAUAUUACACACACUUCCAUACAUCAUUUCGAGUUGUCCAAUAUUCACAUACAUGACACCUACGACCUAUUGCACAACGUCCAUGAUUUAAUUGAGAUUUAGUUCCUCCACAUUGGUGCAGUUUGUUAACAUUUUAUUCCCAGGGACAGUGCAUCAUGUUGUGAAACAUUUGAAAUGUCCAGGUAAUUGAUUGAAUGAAAAAAAAAAAAAAAAUUGGUAAGAAUUUUCAUGCACCUCAUUAUUUGGUUUUUAAUGUCAAUUUGAUUUUCUUUAGGAAGCCACACAUAUAGAAAGUCUUUUUUUUUUUUGGUCGAAAGAUAUAGAAUGAAAUUGGUUGGGCUCCUUUUAUAGAGUUUUUGCUUCAACCACUCACAUGCGAAAUUGAAUAAGCGCCUCCUCUUGAAUGUCUUUUUCUUUUCCUUAUUUAGGCAGAUCCCAAAUGCUUGAGAUAAGGCGCAAUCAAAUUAUAUGUUUUUUUUUUAUAAGCCAAAAAAUAUUCUCUGAUUUCCUUUGUCAUGUAUUACUACUAGGGGAUUAUAAAUGAUAGUUGUAAAGUUAUAUUCACAUGUCAAAAGCGUUGAAGAUGGGACGAGGCUAUAGCACUCUGUCAUUCAUUUAAUUUUGGUGCUUUUCACUGGCUCUGUGGUGAGUCUUGUAUGGUUUUUUUUUUUUUUAACUUUUAAUGGUCAAUUAAAAUCAAGUUGCUUUGGGCUAACUUUUUCAGUUCAAAGGACCAUAAUUAUUCUAUCAAGUGAUUCAUGAUCAUCACCGACUACUUCAGUACCCUUUCAUCCUCACCCAUUUUGCUAUAAAUUUUUAACACUAUAACUGCCACAUGAAAGCCCAUACUAACGAAAAAAAAAAACCAACAAAACAUUUGUAAAUUAUAAUUUUUUUAUGAAGAUGUGCAUGCCCUCUAAGUUGGUCAUGUGAUCACCUCCUAUUCAAUGUUUUGGAUGGCCACAAGAAAAGGUCCUCUCUUUCAGACGAAGACCAAAAGUCUUGCUAUGGAGAAAAAUGAGAACAAUUUAUUUGUCUAACUCAAGGACACAAUGUGCUUCAAAAGGUGGCCUCUUCAAGCUAACUCAUAAAGGACUUUCAUCGGGAAGACCAAGACUUUAAUGGACAUAAUGUACUUUUUGUCCAGAAAGUGAAGCAGAAGCAGAGAGCAAUUGAAAACAGAUACACUUUGCAGGAUGCAAAUUGGCUUUAGUGCUUCACAUUUCACGUCCCUCCUCUUCCAUCCCUAUGUGAAUACCUUUAUUUUUCCACUACUAGUAGAAUUUUCCCACGCAUUACAUGCCAUGCUUAAAAUUGAUUGCUACUAUAAUUUUCGUCCAAUUCUUAUUUUCAUGCUUAAUCGUAUUGUGAUUUUUCAUUCAGUAAUAUCUCCUGUACUUGUCUAUUAAAAUUGUGUCUAAAUUUUCAUGUAUCUUUUUAAAUUUAUGUUCUAGAAAAAAACAAAAAGAACUUAAGAAGGGAAAAGAAGAAGAAGCAAGAAUGAUGUUACUCUUAAAGCGAUUUAAGAGUUAAAGAAUAAUGAUAUCGUAAGUACUUGAGCUCUUGUUUAGUUUAUGAUCAAGUACAAUAAUAGUUUUUUUUUUUUUAAUCAAGAACCUCAAAUUUUCAAAUUUGGCUCAAUUUGAGGCAUCGUUUAAAUAACUUGUCAUGUUAUGUAAUUUUGCUUACAUGACUCACUUAAUCAGUAAAAAUUAAACAUAAUAGUUGACAUGGCUUCUUACCCUACGGAUUGAGUGAUGAGGAGAGAGAAAGUGCAUUGAUUUAGAUUAUAUUAGCAUUCAAUAUAUCUCAGUUGACAUGAUAUUAUAUCAAAGUUUAAAACUGAAUUAUUCAUUAUCCAACAGAUUUUUGGAUUUUUGGAUAAUUUUUUGUAAAGUCAUAUACAUAUGUCAAAAGUAUUCAAGAAGUAAUGAUGCUUUCUUGGGACAAGGCUAUAGCUCUCUGUCAUCCAUUUAAUUUUGGGUGCUUUUCACGCUUACAUCAGUGGUCAGGGGAAUCAAAAUAGGAUACUCUUUGUCCACAAGUGCUUGUUUGGUAAUACUCAGCAAAAUUUCUCCAAAGGCUUCGUGGAUACCAUAUGCCUUUUUGUCUGGAAAAUGAAGCAAAAGAGAAGAAGAGGUCAUGGGAAAGCAACUUCAAUAAAUUUCGGGAAGACCAUGACUUUACUGGACACAAAUUGAAAUUUGUUGAUUCUCUUUUCACGUCCCUCCUCUUGCAUCCCCACGAGAACGUCUCUUUUUUCCAUUACUAUUAGAAAUUCUAUGCUUUAUGUCUAGAUUAAUCUCUUUUACUUUUUCUUUUUUCAAAUUUGUCUCAAUUUGAGGCGUCCGUUAAAAAAUUGCUACGUUGUAAUGAUUUUAUUUACAUGAUUUGCUUACCCUACUAAUUGGGUGAUGUGGAGAGAGGGGUCGUGUUGACUUAAACAAUCUUAGCAUCCAAUGCCUUUGCCAACGUAGCAACAUCUCAAGAUGUUGUAUUAGACACUAGUGUGGACAUUUAACAACUAUUCACUAGUGUGGACAUUUAACAACUAUUCAACGGCAUUAACGUCCUGUUAACAUUUUCCGUCCACCAAAUUAACAAAGGCCUCGUGUUGACCCACAUGGAAAAUUAAGAUGAUUGAAUGAAAAAAAUUUAGGUACCUAAUUGCAAAAGGGGUAAUAAUUCAAGUACUUGCGAUGUCAUUGUCCCAAAGAGUUUUUUUAUACAAUCAUUGGUCUAGACUCAAAUCUCAAACAUACUUUUGUUUACGCAAUAUUUGUUCUACAAACUCAUCAUCUUUGUUCAUUGCUUGGUCUCCGUUUAAUAAUUUUCUUUCGUAAGAUUAUUCAUUUAUUCGUAUGAAAGAGAAUAGGAGAUAGUUUUGUUAAUUUCACACGCCAAAUAAUUUCAGUGGCUAAAUGUCAAGCACAUUGGAAGACUACAAAAUUUCCCAAUGUCAAUUUCCCUCAUAUUUUCCUCUAGUCAUUUGAUCAUAAAAAUUCAAGCUUUACACUCAAAACUUUUUAGUGAAUUAUCAAACUUUUGAUUGAAAAUAAACUUAUUCUUAGCACUUGAUUUUCAUUCGAUUGGACAUCGUAUUUAUAAUAUUGUCAUCGUAUGUAACUGUACAGAACAUAAUUUAAAACCUUACUAUGAUUUCUUUACCAAUCUCAACUAAUUCGCCUAAACAAUAUUUUUUGUAAAUAAUUUGUUCCAAUUCUUCGAGAGACCAAUUGAUAUCAUCUGGAACGGCGGAUUUGACCCGCAAGAGACAAAAUUGAUACCACGAGGAUCAUAUUUGAGGCCAAUGUAAAUAGUUAGCGGCUACUUAAUAUUGUUGGUGUCAUAUAGAUAGUUUUUCAUUUACUAUCUCAACGGAGGCCUCACAUUGAUUUACAUUAAUAAAUGACAAGGUAAUUGGUUGAAUGGAGAAAAAAAACUUUAGAUAGUUGAUUGCCAGCACAUAGGUAAGAAAUUUCAUGGACCUCAUUAUCUAGUUUUAUUUCAGUCAAUUUGAAUAUUUUUGGAAGCCAUGGAUAUAGAAUGAAAUUGAUGGGUCUCCUUCUACGUAGUUUUUGCUUCAACCCCUUGCAUGUAAAAUCGAAUAAGCGCCUCCUCUUGAAUGUCUUUUUCUUUUCCUUAUUCAGCUAGAUCCCAAAUGCUUGAGAUAAGGCACAAUCCAAUUGUAUUUUUUUUUUUUUUUGUUAUAUGCCAAAAAAUAUUCUCUGAUUUUCUUUGUCAUGUAUUACUACUAGUGAUUAUAAAUGAUAGCUGUAAAGUUAUAUACACAUGUCAAAAGUAUUGAAGUACUAAUGAUGCCUUCUCGGGACCAAAUUAGAUUAGUGCAUUUGACAAUUUAUUUUGUUGUGGGUAAUUAUAUUUGGUUCAAGUAUGCCAAGUUCUAAGGUUUGAGUAAUAUUUGGAAACAAUCAACCACCGAAACAGUUCAUUUUAUUCUAAUUCCUAAUUUUUAAACAUGUAAUCUGAAAAUAUGUGUGCAAUGUCCUCAUCUGGGCGUAGCACGUGUAUGAACACUCGUAAUCUAAUAUUAUUUCACAUUUCAUAACUAAUUGACCUCAUUAAUUGGGUUCAUAUCUAAAUAGAUUUUAGAUUAAAUCAUGAGUUUUUUUAAAUUGAUGACACAUACACACAAACACUUUCGUAGAGUAUCCAUACUACGCAUCGGCUUACAAUUAGUGUGUACGUAUUUUUUAAAUUGAAUCUUUCAAUUUAGAAACUCAUGAGCAACAGUUGAAAUUGUCCACAACUUAUUGAUUUUUCUUCUGUCUUUUUGCUUAGUUCUAUCUUAUUUAAAGCAGAAGCGAUUCAGGAAGACCAAGACAUUCACCCACCAAAAACUUUAAACAACGACCAAGACCGAGCCUUUUUUUUUUCCAUCCGUACAAUCUCAAUAACCUUACAAUUUCAGUGUCUUCAUUUAAUGCGUUAUUGGUGAAUAUGCGAUCAAUAUAGGCUUUUACAUGGCAAUGUCCUCGGGGUAAGUAUGGUUCCAAAGUAGAACUUGGAAUCUAAUAAUCAGACCGAUGGAAACUUGUAGGUUUCGGGUUCCAAAAUAUGCCGGGUAAGUUCCAAGUUCCAAAAAAUGAAGAACUUAUUUCAACGGGUAGUUUCCAAAUUCUUAAUUUUCGGAACCUAAAACUUGGAACCUUGAAUCAGGAACUUGGAACCUGGAAUGAGUUUUAAUAUUUUUCUUAGUUCACGUUUCUGUGCGAUCUUCUGAUAUUUCAUGCUAGUGUAUAAUCUAGAAGUAUUAGUCUGAGUUUAUAUAUUAUGACUAAGAUUUUACUUUAUUAAUGUUCAUAUUUUUUGUAUGUUUAUAUAUAAGCUAUAGUUAGUAAAUUGUAAUCGUUCAAAUAAUAAUAUAUGUGAAACCUAGAUAGACCUUGGAAUCGACAUUGGAACCUGUGAUAGGAAAUGAUCCAAGUUCUAGGGUAUGCAGGGCAGGUUCUAGGUUCUAAAAAAUGAUAAACUUGGAAUUGCUCACUCCUAAUUACAGUACUAAAGAUUUGCAGCAAGAUGGGCAGCAAUGAUCUACUGAAGGGUGUUGAGGUAGUAGUUGAUGAUCAAGAAUCGCUUGAUAGGAGAAUUGUGGUCAUUUGCACAAUUUUCCUAUUCAUAAGUGCGAUGCCUAGAGUAUAUCUAGUACAUUGCACGCUGUUAGUUGGUGAUGCCCAACCAUUUUUCUUAUCUAGCGAUGAAUAAAGCUGACCAUGGAAACAAUGAUUAGCAGAUCCCUACUGAUGUCAUUACCACUUUCUUGGAGUGGUCUCUGAAGAGGCUGGAACAUGUCAUAGCAAAGUAGCAAAGUUGAAUGUCACAUUAGCAAAUAUGUUAGCUAUAUUUUCUUGAGAAAAUUAUGCAAAUGGUCCAUAAAGUUUAGUUAAAUGUGCAAUGUAGUCCUUGAACUUUAGCAUGACGUGUAAUGUCAUUUUUAAACUUUUAAUUUGUUUAAUUUAGUCCCUAAAAUUUGUAUACAUAUUUAAUUUAGUUCUUGGAUUAUCCCUAAACUUGAAUGAAUGAAAAAACGAUAUUGACCAUUUUCAUAUAAAUGAAUUAGAAGAACUAGCAGAAGUGCAUACUAGUUGCAUGUGAAGAUUAACAUCUAAAAGAGUUUGCAAAAUUCAAAUUAUUAAUUCAUAAAAAGUUAUUUACACAAUUUGAGGAAAUUUUAUCCAUGGAUGUUUACAUGGAAAGAGAGAAACAUAUCAAGAUUUGAAUUUUUUGGUAAAAAAUUUUAUAAGACAAAAACUUCAAAUAUUGAAGAUCGAAUUACAUGAGAGAAUAUAACAAAAUUGUUGAUGUAUAUAUUGAACAAGGUGAUGCUAAUUCAAUCACUUUAUGCAUAGUCCAAUGCCAGAAAACUCAACUUUGUUGAACGAAACCCAAAAGAAGGAAUCAAGAAAGGUCUCUCCAAUGGCCACGAGCAAAUGAGUCCAUUAUAAAAGUUAUGGCAAAGCAAAGUGUUGAGGAGCUAAUGGAGACAGAGGACCAUGAAAGUCCAAGAAGAUGAGGACUUUCACAUGCGAAGAUAUCAUUUUGAGAAAGACUUUCACUUGCUAAAAAUGUCAUUUUCUUUUUUGUCCAGAAAGUGAAGUGAAAAAGAGAUGGUGGGAAAGAAACUUUGAAGACCAAAAUUUUUGCACGCCUUUUAAUGGUGGAAAAGAUAUUAAUAGAAUCCUAAAAGAUCAAGACUCUGCACGUCACAUCUUUUCAUGGCAGGAAAAAAAUUAGUAAACUCCAAGAAGAUCGAGACUUUUGCACGUCUUUUGAUAGUGCACAUCUUUUUAUGGUAGGAAAGAAGCUUUAAUAGAUUCCAUAAAGACUAAGACAUUUGCAAGUCUUUUGUCUUUUGUUGGUGGGAAGAAAACUUCAAUUGAUGCCAAGAAGACUGAGACCUCUGUAUCUUUUUUUGUUUUACCAAUAGAAUUUUCAGGCAUUACAAGUCUUGCUUAAAAUCAGCAAUACCAUAAUUUUCCUUUAACUCUUUUUGGGUCUAAUCAUUUUGGGAUUUUUUCAUUCAUUAAUCUCUAUUGUAUCUUUUCAAAUUCGAGUUCAACAAAAGAAAAGAAGAGAGCAAAGAGAAAGCCUAAAAAGAGGAAGCAACAAAAACUUAAAAAAGAAAAUAAAGAAGAAAAAGGGGCAAGAUAGAGCAUUAUCAAAGCACGGCCACGGCCGUGUUGUUGCCAUUAGUGCUGCUACUACGGUGACUAUUUCCAACUUCAUCACCUUACAGUGACCUUCGUAGAUAACAUUUUUCUUGAGAUGUUUUUCUUAUCGCGGUUCAUAAGUUGAGGAUAAUGACAUCGAGAUUAUCAAAACUUUUGCUUAGUUUACAAUCAACUACCUAAACUUUUCUUUUUUAAUUAAGUACCUCAUUUUUCAAAUUUGACUCAAUUUAAGGUAUUCGUUGAAUAAAUUAUCAUGUCAUAUGAUUUUGCUAAUAUGGUUUGCUCACCACUGGAGAUAAUGUAGGAGUAAGGUUAGGCACUGCAUAGGACUUAAAUGAUCAUAGUGUCUAAUAUAUCUCGACCGAGAUAUAUUUGGCCGAGAUGUAUUAGAUGCUAUAUAUAUGUUAGUAAGAUUGUGGUGGCUAUAUGCGAAGCCCAUUCAGAGACUAUAAAGUAUCUCGGCUGAGAUAUAUUAGAUGUUAUAUGUUAAAAAGAUUGCGGUGGCUAUAUGUCAAGCCCAUUUAGAGUCUGUAAAGUCCUCAACGUUGAUUUUCUUUACAUUUUUUGCAAUCAUUUGACCAUAAAGCAUUGCUCUUGCCCCUUUUUCUUGGCCAAUUCCAUUGCUUUCCCUUUGAUCCAUUCACCCAAAACUUAAAAGUUUUGUGCAGGUAGUUUGGCCUAAAUCAGUUGGAACCGGUUUGAAAAUAUACCGAUUUUCAACAUUAGAUCCACUUAGUUUUAGAGUCCCAUGGGUAUAGAAAUGGGCUUUUGGCUACUGUUGCACAUGGAGGGACUUGAGCACUCAACUCCACGGAUCACCGGCAUUUCACUAACCAAGGCCGAACGAUUCAUGUGUUCAUGGGGAAUUGCCAGCACUACAUAUCUAUAAUUGUUUGCUCAAGACACAAUCACCGAUUCCCCUAGUCCAACUGCUUGGCCCGCAAAUAGGCAACCUAACUGGUUCCCUUACUAGCCUGAGUUUGAAAAUAUUGGUGCAAAGUUCCUAUCCCUUCUUAAAAUAAGUAGAUAUGACCAUCUGAUAUGAAUUGAGUCGUAAUGCCCACAAUACUUUUGCCAUGUAACAAAAUAUGAUAGCUAAGUGAUUAUAACUAAUAAACAUCAAUGCUCCUCUCUUUCUCCUUGAUCAUAUGAGAUCUGGAAAUUCUUCGUACAGCUCCAAAUGAGGUUGAUGCUCAACCUCCAUGGUACAUUACUCUUGUCAUUUUUAUAACGCAAAAACCAGAAAAUGAUGCAGUGCAACAUAUUCAGCUUUUCACAGUAGCAGUUUGAUUUGUCACGUACAAUUUUGGAUAUCAAGGUUUUUAUGAGCAUGAGAAGAAAUCUAGCUGCAACAUUUGGAAGCAAAUUACUCAACAUCAUCCCCAUUGAGUUUGCUAAGAAUUUUCUUUUGAUAAGCAGAAGAAAUUUACUGCACAAUGGCAUUAGGCAGAUGCUAAUCCAUGUAACAAAUCAUAAACGCAAUUCAUGCUAUGAGGUAUAAGAAAGAAUGCAUAUUAGUAAUGUCAUUUUCACACAACCAAAAGCUGUGGAAAGCCAUCUAUCAUUCAAAUCAAAAAACCAGUCUUGCUAAUUUCAAAGGCUCUCCCAUUUCUUUCUUCAAAACAGAACAGUAAGCUAAUGAAAUGAAUCAACCAUAAACACAGCCCAACAUAAACAAGCAGUAAUAAAAACUCCUUACUGUUUGAUGUUGGAUUCUAAAAUCCAACAAAAGGAAGUUCUCCAGUAGAACCAAAAAUCAGGAGUUUGCCAUAGUUUCAUGGAGAUUUUGAACAAAAGUUACAAGACCUAUGGAACAUCGGAUAGAAAGCAAAUGAAUGCAUGUUGCAAGAGGCAGUCUUGGAUAUUGUGGACCAUAAUAUCCAUGCACAGUGAUGAACAAGGCAUUACUGCAGGGUGAGCUUGGCAUCUAAUUUGUAACAACAAGAGAGAGAAUGUCGAUCGUCAUAGCAGCAGAGGCUAUGUUCUCCAUGAUAGCUACUACCCAAUCAUCUCUUUGAACCAACAAUUGAAAUUAAAAUGCAGGGUGGCAAGUUCAUUUUCAGAAUAGCAGAUUAGUAUGGCAGCACUCAAAUAAGUCGGACCAAUAAUUGAGAAUGAAUCAGUCACUGUAAAUAGACUGCUUCUGAUGUCCUUGCUGGCACCGAGGCGAGCUGAGAGUUGCCUAAAGCAUUAACCGCACAUUCUUUCUGAAUCAUUGACUUCAGGAGUCCCAGUGGCAAUGUUUAGGACUAACAAGGAAUGAGAUGGAUCAGUCCGCUAUUAACUGACUUGGUUUAUAGAUGUAAGCAGAGUUUGUCUAAUUAAAUCUGUACAAAACUCGAAACUUUGAACUUGUGAGAGAUGCUGGAAAGCAGUAUCUGACACUCAAAUAAGAACAUAAGAACAUACGACCUUAAAAUGAAUCACGAGGCUUGUAUUUAUUGUCAAUUUCAUGUAUAUCCAUGAAGGAGCUGCCUCCAACUGCAAUACCCUUCAAUUCAUUUAUGGCUUCUAUUUGGUUCGGCUGCAUAGCAAUGCCUCCAUUCUCAGAACUACCCUCUAGAAAUUCAUUAUCUUCCAUAUCUGCUAAGUCCAUAAAAGUUUCUGUCUUAUUCUUCCUCCCCGUACAACCAACAAGGCUUAGGACCUUUUCCUUCCAAAUAACCGGCGGACAUUUCUGAAUCAGCUCCGCACCUUCAUAAGCUCCUGUCAAGAACACGCUAAACCAACACCUUUGACACCACUUUAUGCUUCUCAGUGGCAAUUUCGAGAUCAUGGACCCUCUUGUCCUUGCGCCUAUCUUUCACUCUCUUGCUGGUGGUCAUGAAUCUAUGCUGCGACCAGUUAAGUAAAAACUCGCCAAGACUCCAGUUUCUUCUCAGGGUAGGCGAACGCAAUAGCGAGGUGACAAAGCAACCAAACUCGCUUGCCGCGCUCCAUUCAUUCGAGGAAGCUGCGGUUUUACCAAUGAUUUGAAGACGGGUCAUGUCAAGAUGGUAAUGCCUCGCUCCAAAUUCAAGAAACAAGCCCAAGAAAAGCAAAUGCCUCUCGCUCAAGACAAACAUCAAACGGCUUACGUGCAAUGGAACGAGGACCAACAAGAGCCCAAGACAAAAGAAUAUUCGAGAAGAUCGCCGUAAAUGCGCGGUUACCACCUCUCUCGGAUCACUCGAUGAGCAUCAGUGUCGACUUCGACGGAAGCUGGUUGGGAUUUCAGGCGGGGCUUGUGCGGAGAACGAAGAAGAAGAAGAAACGAGGCGCGAAGAAGAGGGAACGGAUUGUCGUUUUGGUUUUUGCGUUUUCCGUCGUGAAUGAGGUGACAUUUUGAUUUAAAUAAUUAAAAGAGCUUGAGGGUCUUAUAAAAGGCGAUAUUCCUGUGUUUUUUCUUUUUAAUUAUAAAAUUGAGGCGUUUGAGAUUACAUCGAAAAUCUGAUUUAAAAUCUUAAUAAAGUUUAGUAAAAAAAAAUCAAACCAUAUCGAAAUCAAAUAUUGGGUUUCAUGAUUCAUAGACAACUGAAUGUCUUCUCUCAUUAUACACAUGUUCGAAAACUUACAUAAAAGAACAAAUUUUUUAGAAAAAAAUAAGGAAAAAUAUAUUGGAGAUUACUAAUGGUUCUAUAUUUUAAGUCUGAUUUGCCUAUUUUGUAAAUUGGAGUCGAAAGGGUUCGAUAUUAAAUAAAAAUCAAAUUUCAGGCAUUAAAUGUCUUCCUUGUUUGACAAAAGAAAACACAUGCUCCAUGUUCGUCACCUUUUUUUGAAUGACCAAGUUACAAAUUUUAGGAUAUGUGUUGACCAAUCAAACCGGUCACGAACAAGUUCUUAGCAAGCCAUUCCAAAUAACUCAAUUGUUCAUUGAUAUUUUCACAAUUCUACAAGCAAUAAAAAAUCGAGUUUGAACAUAAUGCAAUUAAACCAAGUAUCGACCACAAUAUAGAUCGAUUCUUUUCCUUUUUUAAGAACUUAAUUGGGUCCAAUUUAAGAAAGUUAUAAGCCGGAUAGGAUUAAGAUGAAUAUAAAACCGAGAUAAAUAAAUAAAAAUUGAGUUAUUUAAUGGAAAAUAAAAAGAAAAAAAUCAAACGAAUAUUUUCCACUCCCUCUCUAGGAGUGUAUUUGAUAAAUUCUUAAAACAGAUCCAUUAAACCUCAAUUCGUGAGGAUCUAUCUCAGAAUAACGAAACUCAGUCAAACCCCUUUUUCUUAAAAAAGGAAAAAAAAAAGGAAAAGAAAAAUAAGCCGAGAGCCAUCCUUCCCCGCUUCCCUCCAAUUUCCGAUCGUUUCCAAAAUCCGCAAAAAAAAAUUCGAAAGUCUCUUCUCCUGCGCAGACGCAGCGAACUCCAUCGCCGAUCGUCAAACUCCAUCGUCGUCGAAGAUGCUUUCGUCUCUCAAACUGAGUUUCACGAUCUCCGCUCGAUUUCAAUUCAUGUCCUUUUCCGCGGUGCCAUUGCCGAUGACGAUGAUUCUGGGUCUCAUCUCGUGUUCGCUCGUUGAUGUUCGGAGCCGAAGAGCAGAAGAUAGUGGAAAGAGAGGACGACGAUGACGAAGCAGAAGACCUGCCCGAAACGAUCGACAAACAAACGUGAGUUACGGCAAAACGAGAGUGUAGGCAAUGCUCUCUGUUCAUGCCAUCGCUUUCGCAACGAGUUUCGGUGCGUCAUUUGAUUCUGAGAUUGAUUAUCGUGAUUUUCUGAUUCCGUGUUCCGAAAGUUAAAAUUAAGAUGCAAAUGGUUCGAUGAAGCUACGGCUGUGAUUAUCGUGAUGUACAUCUCGACCUUUCUCUCGAACUUGCCGUGAUUUCCUGCGCGUGCAAUAGUUUUUAGUUUUUUGUCUUCUGAUCAUACAAGAGCAAUUCCAGCCUUCGUUAUGUUACGUGAUCUUGGAAUUGCACCAUUGGAUGUCUUGUUUUCCAUGUAUUGGUCAUAUAGCUGGAUUGGUAAGGAAUAUCCUAAGCUAAAUUCAUCAAUAAUCACUGUUGGAAAGUUGGAUUGUCAGUGAUGAUCUAGGAAAUGCUUUUGUCCUGGCAUCCUACAAUCACCAGAAGAGUUUGACACGAUGGUGAGUUGGUCUCAUUUUCCUUCUCUGAACUUCUUCCUUUAUUUUGUUUGCAGUUAUUUCUCAAGGAAUAAAUGCUGGAGAUAUGAAAAAGCUCCAGGAUGCAGGAAUCUACACUUGCAAUGGCUUGACGAUGCAUACAAAGAAGGUAUAUCUGAUCUUUAGUCCUGAGAAUUAAGUUGAGGAGUGUAUUCUUAUUUGGCCAAGUGAUUUGCUUUUGCUUUGUUUAUUUUUGGGUAGCACUUAACUGGAAUAAAAGGAUUAUCUGAGGCAAAAGUUGACAAAAUAUGCAAAGCGGCUGAAAAAAUAGUGGUUAGAGCUUAAAUUCUUCUAGACCUGAGAUGGUGGCUUCAAUCAAUUUGCACUUCUAUGAGCAUCUCGCAUUGACUUCCCUUCGUUUUAUCAGAAUUUUGGCUAAAUUACUGGAAGUGCUCAGUGUAAGUUCUUAAUUCUGCAACCUUCGAGCUAAAAUGGUUCGGAAUAGCCUUGAAAUAAAGCCUGCAAAUUAGCAUAUCCGUUGCUCAAAGUACUCUCAAUGUCUUCGUUUUUCUCUAGAGAGAGUCGUUGGUUGUUUGCAUCACAACUGGAAGCCAAGCCCACGAUGAGCCUGUAGGUGGUAAGAGACUUUCUUUUGCAGACUGUGUGUCUUAUUCUUCAUGCAUUUCAAUGAAAACAAAUUUCACCGGUUUGGCAAUGUUCACAGGUGGUAUUGAAACUCUGGCAAUUACGGAAGCAUUUGGUGAAUCUGGGUGAAAAUCACAGUCCAACAACAUUACCUUUUGAUGAACUUUUGGUUGCUUUUGUUAAUUAGCUUUCUCAGAAAAUGCUGCUGACGUCACUUCAGGUCUGGGAAAACAUAGCUUGCAUAUACCCUAUGUGUUACUUCCCAGGUUGGUCUGAAUUGGAUAUUAGGUUUCUGUCUUGAACUUCUGUUUCUUUCUUUUUCUUUUUUUUUUCUCCAGAUGAACAAUGCCAAAUAGUAACAUGAUGAUUGAAUUCCUAUGAAGUAUAAAGAUGUGGGUAAUCUUGGCAUCAUAAUGUGUGUAUUAGGUGAUUCUGGAAGUAUGGCACUCAUUUUCUGUAAUCUGCACUCGGUAUACUGGAACCCAUGUACAGUGGCUCAAACCAAGCAGGAAAAAGGCCAGAGGAGUUUAGACUAUGUCAUAACCCAGUAAAAGCCUUAAUCACAGAUGGACUCGGACUUGGGUUGAUCAUUAGUUGAAUGUGAUGCUUGAAGAUACUCUACUUCCUUUGCAAAUCCUACAACAGUACUUACCCCUGUUUAUAAUCAUUCUUUGUUAAUGGUUUGUGGAUUCCAUGUUUGUAAAAUAUUUUCAGCUGCCAAGUCACAUGAGAGGAGGAAAUGGCAAGGUAGCUUAGAUCAACGCAAAAGGAAGCAAAAGGAACUUUGUAUGCUAUUACAAUCUGUCUGUAUUUUUCUUGACCUCGGCAAAGCUGCUUGUGUUUCAUAAACGUUAUCUGUCCAUGUAAGCGCAUGUGCACUUUCUUAACUUGGUACACCUGCAGUUGCGGUGAUCGAAUUGUACCAAUUGCCAAGAGAUUUGGCAUGGACUAUCUUGCAGUCCUAGAUAAUGUAAGCUAAGCUUUCUAUAUUGGUGGCAACUCUUCCUUCUUUUCUGGCUAGUGUACUUGCUGUAAUCUAGUCUUUCCAUGAAUUUGUAGAUCAUUUAUGCCCGUGUCUAUACUUAGGAGCAUCUGGCUGCCAAAAUGUGUGAAGAACCAUUUAGAUUACUGGUAAGACAGCACUCCAGAAUGAAACUGCACACAUUUUGUGAGGUGUGGAUGGUUGGCCUUAGGUCAGUAAUAUCUUUCAGACUAUGGAUUCAGCGAUUACUCUCUUUCAAAUGGGUAUUAUUGGAAGGGGAGAACUUGUAAAGAGCCAGGUCCGUUGAAACCGUCAAAUCAUGCGAGUUGUAUUUUUGAGCUCAUCUUGUUUGACACAAAUAGAUUCUGAAUUGUGGCAAAAAUUUGCACAAGUGCUCUCAUGCUUACUUAAGAUAGCUGAGGAAUUUAAUGUGACAGUGUACAUAACUAAUCAAGGUACGGCAUCACAUCUUAUUUCUCCCACAGUCAUGCAUCCAUUAAUACUUAUCCAAUCUAGCCCUUGAUGGUGCACACUGAAAAAUUGCAAUUUGGGGAUAGCACUAAGCUCAUGCUAGUUCUUGUAAAUCUCAAGAAUCAGCUGUUUGGUGUAAACUUGUAAUGUACACAGUGGCUACAGUCCAUUAUUUAACAGUCCAUUACUUAAGGAAAAAAGAUAAUUUUUUCACGACUUUGAUUUAUUUGUUUCAGCAUCAAAGAAACCUGCAGGUGGGCAUGUUCUGGCUCAUGCGACCACAACUAGGUUGAUGUUUGAGAAAGGCAAAGGUGAGCAGCGGGUUUGCAAGGUGUUCAAAGCCCCAGACCUACCUAAAGCUGAAGUUAUAUCCUUUCUGUGCUGGAUCUUUUGUCUAGCCAUACACUUUAUUGAAAUUUACCAGAUUAUACUGCAGAGACCAAACGAAAUAUGUAGAAAUCUUUAUCAAUCAGAGAGAAAGUUGAUACUAAGUCCAUAUAUGCAUAGGUGGAGACAAGAGUUUGAGCAGUAUACUUGCAGUAUACUUACAUUUGCAGCCUGUGCUAUGGAAACAAUAUACCCAAACAUUGGUGAUGCCAUACUGUUCCUCUAGUUACAUACUUAGUUGAAAUUUAUCAUACCAUAUUGCAGAGACCAAGUAAAAUAUCUGGAAGUCUAUAUCAAAAUCUGUGAGAAAGUCUAUACUUAGUUGACAUAGGUUUAGGUGGAGACCUGAUUUAAGCAUGAUACUCACAGUAUAAUUGAUGUUGCUUGGAGAUCCAUCAACACGCUGAAUACGAAUUUUGUGUGGAGGAAUUAAACAAAAAGAAGUGGAUAUCGGGAAUUUUCCUCAGUAGGACUGGUAGUCUGGUAUAUUAUUAUUAGCUUUGCUGGUAUGUAGACGAUGCACAUCUAUCCAGACCAUCACUCAAUUUUGUUAGAAAAUUUAGCAAGAACUCAUCUGUCAAUAAGAUGAGACUGAGAUUUAUUUCAUCUAUGCUGAACUUGACAAACUCACGUUUUUCAGAUAACACCAGGAGGCAUCGCUGAUGCCAAGGACUGACAAAGUCUCUACAACCAGGAAGGCAGGCGAAAUGCUUUUUUUUUUUUUUUUUUUUAUUGGUUAAUCUGCAAUUUGAUGUUAGUCAUCGUAUUGACAGCAAGAUGCAUAUAAUGAGCUCCCAAGCACUUGUUCAUUUCCUUUAUCUGCAAUGGACUCUGUCACCCUCUUCAUAGCUUGUCCUUAAGUGUCAUGUGCUCGACAACAGACCAUUCAUGAAUGACAUGAAAUACUUUCUCUAACUGUGAUGGUGACCCAAAAGAUUUGUCAUCUACAUUGUCACCUUUGUGUAUCAAAUGCAAAAUAUAUCGUAAGGGUAAGGCAUAGGUAUCCUUUCUGCUCCUUGUAUUUAUCUUUAGCCAAUUGAAUGCAAAUAACGCAGCCUUAUAUGCUCUUAGGAGCUUAAUCGAGCAUGCCAUGCUAUUGAAAGUUUAGAGGACUACAUCAGGCUUGAGAUGAGAUGUAAUUAGAAGAAAAUUAUUCAGUGUCAUUUUGAAUAACUUGAAAUGAAAUGAAAUUUAUGAACCAUGGUAUUUCGUCAUAAAGAAAAGAAAAACAAAAAAUUAUCAAAUGCAAUAUGUUUUUAACUACACAUAAUAGCAGUUUGGUUUAAGGCUAACAGUUUGUGGAUAUUGGGGUUUUUAUGAGCCGGAGAAGAAAUCUAGUCACAAUAUUUGAAAGCUAAUUACCCAACAUCAUCUCCAUUGAGUUCACAAUAAUUUUCUUUUGAUAAGUAAAAGAACUUUCUUGAACUUUCUUACACGAGCAAUUCAGCUUUUGUUUAUAUUAUGCGACAUUCAAAUUGCACCAUUGCAGUAGCUGCAGUCCAUGAGUUUCGGAAAAAGAUGAUUUUUUUGACUUAGUCUUUGAUUUAUUUGUUUCAGUCGUAGAUGAUCCAGGCAGUGAUGUGUUCAUAUCAGACCCAACGAAACCUGCGGAUGGGGAUGUUCUGGCUCAUUUAGCCACAAUUAGGUUGAUGUUUAGGAAAGGCAAAGGUGAGCAGCACGCCUCCAAGGUGUUUAAGGCCCCAAACCAACCUGAAAUUGAAGCUAAGUCGAUACUGAGUCUACAUAUAGAUAAGUGGAGACCUGAUUUAAGGAUGGUGCUCACAAUAUACUUGAUGUUGUAUGGAGAUCCAAGAACAUGUUGAAUGCGAAUUUAUGCAGAGGAAUUAAACAAAAAGAAAUGGAUUUCAAGAAUUUUUCUAAGCAAGACUGGUAGAUUAACUGUGCAGCCUGUGCUCUAUGUAGAUGGCACAUCUAUCAAAACCAUCACUUAUUGCACGAGAGGUUACCGCUUUACCCUCAAUAUUGAACAUGCUAUAAUUGUCUGUUAUUAAAGUUCACAUGAUCACAAGGUUUCGUGUAAACUCGAUUUCCAUAUGAGAACCAGCAUGCUCGAAGUUAUAUUGGUUCACAUCUGUUCUCAUAUGACAAUAUCGUCCCGGUCUGAUUUACUAGUAGAGAUUCUAUGCGGAAAACAUUACAUUGGAUAAACUUUGCAUGAUGGCUAAAUGAAAUGCCAGAAAGAUAUUACUGCACAAAGCAUGAUCAAGUUCUGUAAAGGCUUGGUUUUGUAAGUACAUAUACAGCUGCACAAAAACAAUGUCAUCUCAAACUCUCAACAUAGAGCAACAGGCCAUUAAAGCCAAAAAAAUUGUCAAUGUAUGAGAAAGGGUGACUGGGUCAUAAGCAACAGAAGGCCAUUCAAUAGCUAAUAGCCUGCCCAAAAAAGGGCCACAAUGCAUAUGACUCGGCAGUGCAAGGACCAGUUCGCAGCAAUCCCAACUCUAGGCAUGCUGGACUCCUUAGUCUCUGCACCACUUCAAAAUGUAGUGCUGUGCACUCCGCUCGACCUAUUCACGCUAGGAACUGGCUUCACCUCAUUCGGUGCAUGCUCGUAACUCCUCAAACCUUUAGAGCUGGUAAAGAAGCAUCCUGAGUUGGAAAAGAAGGCAACGUUAACAGGUGAACGAUUUGGCACUCAAAAAUCAUCGGAAGAGCAACAUUGUAGGUGAUAAGGCACAUUUCAAUACAUGCAUACAGGUAAAGAACACCAUUUUAACCUUAGAUUAUAAAUUUAUGUUCGAAACCAAUUUUUCCAAAAUGCUGUUACCCCACAACAUAACAUUCUCCUUUGAACUCUGCUUAAUAUCAGCAGAGCUCAUCCAUUCUUACUUUUCACAUUGCAAUGCAUGGACCAAAUUCCAGUGGAGCCGCAUCAACAAACCGAAAAAAUAAUUACCUUUAGGGAAUGGUGCGAAAGACUUCCCAAAGCCCAUCUUCACGACUUCUGCAUCAUCUGAGUGAACAAGACUGCCUCCGGAAUCAAUUCCCCAGAAGGAAGGAAAACUGCCAUAACAUCCUGAAUGAUUCAGAGGACAGAAAGGAUUAGAUAUAGAUCACAGAGGAGGGAGAGAUUGAGAGCGAUAUCCCAGAACGAAACCAAUGAACAUUAUUAUUACUCACACAGGCCAGAAAAGGGGUUUUAGAAGAGCUGUUGAAGAGCACAAAACCAAACUUCCUGCUGAUGUCUCUCACGACUUGAUCAGCAGGGUAGGCCUCCCAUCCCUCAGAAUUCAAUAAGCUUCUACGACGAUAAUGACCUCAUUAGUGGUUUUAUUCCAUCCAUAUUGCUGCUUAAGAAGAGCAACAUUGCCUAUGUCCUUGGAACAAGCAACCGCAAACAAUCUGUCACUGAGGGUAAGGCAUGUCAAAUCUCGAUGUGGGACGAGUUGAUUGAGAAGAGAAGACAAUACGGAAAUUUCCAUCAAUUAACAAUCCAAUUAAAUUUCAUUAUCUGGCUUUCAAAAUGAACCAGACUCGAGUUCCACUAUCUCCUUUAGGCUGACAAAUGGAACCUUUCAUGGUAUCACAGUAAAGUCCAACAAAAAUCAGUUUGAUCUAACCGUUGCCUCUCUAAACAAUGAAAUCAUGAUUAUUUUUUCUUUUUUGGUGGUUAAAGCUACCUUUAUCAAGAGAUGGAGUGGGAAUUUGAAUAGAAGAAAGAUAAACAUGUUAUAUGUGCAAUAACAUUCAAAAAGCCUCAGAGAAAGUACACAGUGAACUGCGAUUUAGAUUACAAAUUAACUCACCUCUAAAAGAGCUUCACGAUCUCACACAAAAAUUGCUUCAAUAAAAAAUUUACAUAUGCAAACAGAGACGGAGGAGAUGUAUCAGACAAGGUUUGCAUUCGUCGAACUGCAAGAUUUCCAGUUACACCAAACAAACACAAGUAAGCUCGAAACUUUUGUUCUGGAACUCCCCACACGAAAGAUGCCACAUAAGAAGGGAUUUUCAGAUAAAAUAACAUAAUGUAAGACAAAAUAAUAUUCCACAUUAGAGUAAACGCACACGGGUGAUACUUUAAAGAACUGAAUAGAUUUGCCCCAGAGGUCACUGCUGACAACACAAUCACAGAAGCAGGUAGCAUAUCAUUUCAAUCUCAACCAAACAAGCAUAAGUAGUUUGGCUAAAAAUUUCUUGCAAGCUUUUAGUAAUGGUUCCUAACCCACCAGAGAUCAAGACCCAAGUGGAAGGUGAUUUAUGGAAUAUCAAUGUUGUCAUGAAUUGGUGUGGCAUUGAAAGGUUGGAGCCAUGAGGCACCCCAGAAUUUUAUCCCAGAUUGACUGGUUAAUACUACGAAGGAUCAUCAUCAACAAAAAGAAGGUUCUCAAUGAUAAAGGAAACCAUUGAAAAAAAAAGAAAAAAGGAAGUGCAUCCCUUUUCUUCACAAUCAUAUCACAGCAUCCACAUAACUAAUCAUGUUUUUAGAUUUUAGAAAAGAUUAUUCUUAUUUAGAUCGUAUUCACUAGAAGACAAUUUAGAACAUCUCAAUGAACCAAAUUAAAUUAAACGCUUCUUUUUUCUAUUAUUAAAUUGCAAAAGGUGACACUUAACAUUGACAGCAUUAGCCCCACCUCAACAGCAUUUACAAGUGAUCCUUCCAAGAGAUUUUGCCAAUACAGAUCACAGUGGUAUCUGCAAAGCAACCACGGUGAACAAGCUUAAGGGCGGAAGAAAAAAGAAGUUGGGAAGAGAACAUACAACAAACGCUGAAGAGCAUAGUGCAUUUUGAUUCACAAUUUGUUUGGCGGGUCACACAAGUGCGAAAAUAAGCACAGUAUUUGGGCAUCAAGAAGAGUUCAAGAUAUGUCAUCAAUAUAGCAAGAUGCAGCUUUGUGAACAGUUCAUUCUACAUAUGUCAAUCUUUCACCUUCAGCGGCUGGUUUUCGAAAAUUUAUGUGAAAAAUCUGAAUGAGGAAAAUCAGUUCGUAUCAAGCAUCGAAUUUAGGAACUGGCUUCACCUCAUUCUGUGGGUGCUCAUAACUCCUCAAACCUCCAGAGCUGGUGAAGCAGCAUCCUGAGUUGGAAGAGAAGGCAAUGUUAAAAGGUGAACAAUUUGGCGCUCAAAAACCAUUGGAAGAGCAACAUUGUAAGUGAAAAUGCACAAAUCAAAACAUGCAUACAGAUAAAGAGCACCAUUUUAACCAUAAAUUAUAAAUUUAGGUUUGGAACCAAUUUUUCCAAUAUGAUGUCACCCAACAAAAUAACAUUCUCCUCUGAAUUCUGCUUAAUAUCAGCAGAGCUCAUCCAUCCUUACUUUUCAUAUUGCAAUGCAUGGACCGAACCCCAGUGGAGCCGCAUCAACAAACCGAAAAUAUAAUUACCUUUAGGGAAUGGUGCGGAAGAUUUCCCAAAGCCCAUCUUCACGAUUUCUGCAUUAUUAAAGAGAACAAGACUGCCUCCAGAAUCAAGUCCCCAGAAGAAAGGAACACUUCCAUCAACAUCCUGCAUGAUUCAGAGAACAGAAAGGAUUAGAUAAAGAUCACAGGUGAAGGGAGAGAUUGAGAGUGAUAUCCCAGAACCAAACCAAUGAACAUUAUUAUUACUCAGAGGCCAGAAAAGCGGUUUUAGAAGAGCUGCCGAAGAGCACAAAACCAAACUUCCUGCUAAUGUCUCUCACAACUUGAUCAGCAGGGUAAGGCCUCCGAUCCCCAGAGUCCUAUAAGCUUCUAUGAUGAUGAUGACCACAUUAGCAGUUUUGUUCCAUCCAUAUUGCUGCUUAAUAAGAGCAAUGUUGAAAAUCAGAAUGAUUUUCUGGUUAUUUUGUUUCCAGCUUUUCCAGAUUUUUCAGAUCUUUUAGAUUUAGAUUUUCUAGAUCUUUCAGAUCUUCUAGAUUUUCCAGAUUUUAUUUUUCCAGAUUUUAUUUGUUAGUUUUUAGGAAUUUGUUUACUAGCUUUUUAGGGUGCUGUAGCAACUAUAAAAAUGUUAGUGUCUCAUGUAAAUAUUAAUUCUCUAUAGAAUAAAAAACUCAGAGUAAUUUCUCUCAAAAUUCUUCAUGGUAUCAGAGCACGAUCUGGACCAUUCUCUUCUACCUUAUUUCUGAGAGUUUCCACCAUGACAAAAUACCCUAGAGCUGCCAUGGCUAGCGAGUUUGAGAGUGAAACCUCAGACCCUAGAGCUCAGAACUCUUCUCACAUUAUCCAACCUAUCAAUGUAUCUGAAGGUGGAACUCUUCUCAUCACCAGUCAUAAACUUACCGGUCACAACUUCAAUCAAUGGUCCCAUUCUGUCAUGAUUUUCGUUUGCGGAAAAGGUAAAGAAGAUUACCUAACUGGAGCUGCCGUACAACCUGAGGAGACGAGCCCAGAUUAUCGAACAUGGAAGGCGGAAAACAACAUGGUGAUGUGCUGGCUGCUGAAUUCAAUGACAAAUGAAACAGGGGAGAAUUUCAUGUACUACAAGACAGCAAAGGAGAUUUGGGAUGCUGUUCAUGAAACUUAUUCAAACAAGGACAACACCUCAGCCAUUUUCGAGAUCAAGGGCAUUCUCCAUGACCUAAGGCAAGGGGAAUCUUCUGUCACUGAUUAUUUUAACCAACUUAUACGUCAUUGGCAGCAACUUGACAUGCUGGAAGAUGUGAUGUGGAGUUGUCCUGAAGAUAGCAAGCUGUACAAGCAGAUUCAAGAUCGAGAACGCAUCUACAAAUUUUUGUUAGGCUUGAAUCAAGAGCUUGAUGAGGUACGUGGACGGAUUCUGAGCAUAAAGCCCCUACCUAGUGUACGUGAAGUUUUUGCUGAGGUCAGGAGAGAAGAGACUCGGCGAAAGGUGAUGCUUGGUUCCUCAAACCUGACCAAUCCAGCAAAUUCUGCUCUAAUAGCUCGAGGAUCUCAACCAUCCUACAGUCGAGGCACUCAAUCAAACAACAACAACCAGCGAAGGGGUGGUCGUCCAUGGUGUGAUCAUUGCAAACGAACAGGUCACACAAAAGACACCUGCUGGAAAAUUCAUGGUCGGCCAGAUGAUUGGAAGCCAUCAGCCUCACAUCCUACUCAAAAUCGAGAGAGCAGAAGCAACGUAGUCCAAACCGAAACAAUUGCUUCGGUAGAUUCAAGUCCUUUCAACAAAGAGCAGUUGGAGAUGCUUAAAAAGCUGCUACAAGAAUCAGUUCAGAAGGCAACCCAUCCAGAAGGGGUUAGUACAGCAACGAUAGCCCAACAAGGUAACUGUCUAAAUGCCUUUAGUGCUAAACAGGAGAAGAUCACCUCUUGGGUUGUAGACUCAGGAGCAUCCGACCACAUGACCGGAGAUAUUACGGUGUUCAACGAGUACACUCCAUGUAAAAAUGGCACUAGUGUUCGAAUUGCUGAUGGAUCUUGCUCAAAGGUGGCUGGUGUUGGAUCAGUGGUUAUUUCAAAAGAUAUAACACUGAAUUCAGUAUUAUUUAUUCUCAAACUCAGCUAUAAUCUUCUCUCCAUUAGCAAGUUAACCAAAGAUUUAGGCUACAUUACUAAAUUUUUCCCACACUCAUGUGAAUUUCAGGUUUUGGAUUCGGGGAUGACGAUUGGCAGUGCUGAGAUGGAUGCGGGUCUCUACCUUCUACGAGUUAAUGCCUCAGAAUGGAAAAACAAGAUGUCAUGUGUAGCAUCUCGUGCUAAAGAAGAGAGUGAUGUAAGAUUGUGGCACUAUCGGUUAGGUCAUCCAAAUUUCUCGUACUUAAAAAGGUUGCUACCUUCUUUGUUCAAUAAGAUUCAAUAAAACUUCAAUGUGAGGUGUGUCAAUUAUCCAAACAUACUCGUAGUUCAUAUCCUUUGCAACCGUACAAGUCUUCCCAUCCAUUUCACAUGAUUCAUAGCGAUAUUUGGGGACCUUCUCGUGUCAAUAACAUUUCUGGUUUUAGGUGGUUUGUUACUUUCAUUGAUGAUCAUACAAGACUCACUUGGCUGUUCCUAAUGAAAGAAAAAUCAGAUAUUGGCCAAAUCUUUCAAACCUUCAACCUAAUGAUCCAAACCCAAUUCAGCACAAAAAUCCAAGUUUUCAAAACGGAUAAUGGGAGAGAAUACUUUCACUCACAACUCGGGUCAUAUCUAAAUAGCCAUGGUAUCAUACAUAUUAGCUCUUGUGUAGAGACUCCACAACAGAAUGGAGUGGCGGAGAGGAAAAAUAGGCAUCUUUUGGAAGUCGCUCGUUCUCUUAUGUUAACCACCCAUGUUCCUAAACAUUUUUGGGGAGAAGCAGUGUUGACAGCCACAUAUCUCAUCAAUCGUAUGCCUUCCCGUGUCCUAGAUUUCCAAACACCAUUUCAGAGUCUACUUCGUAUUUACCCACAUAUACUUCGUAUUUACCCACAUAUUCGUUUUGCGUCACAUAUCCCAUUCAAAGUAUUCGGUUGCACAGCUUUUGUUCAUAUAAAUCAGCAACAUCGUAGCAAGCUAGAUCCUAAGUCUCUCAAAUGUGUGUUUCUAGGAUACGCUCCAAAUCAAAGUGGAUAUAAAUGUUAUUGCCCACAAAUAAAGCGUUUUUAUACCACUAUGGAUGUUACAUUCUUUGAGCACCAGCCCUUCCACUCCAACAAUACCAUUCGGGGGGAGAGUUGUGAGGAAUAUUAUUUUUGGGAUACUUUUCAUUCACUCGGGUCACAACAAACAAAUACCAACUCUGCUUGUCUUCCGAGUCUACCCAUGCAAGAUGCUACACAAGACAAAAAUAAAGAGGUAAUUGUCUACUCUAGGCGGAAAACUCAAAAGGAGUUGGAGGACCGUACUACAUCAAAGCCGGCCCAAGAGACAGACCUGAGUUCAAGACCCACAAUGGAUGAAGGUAAUGCUCCUAUAAGCUCAGAAAAUUUUGCUGUACUUGAUGAUCUUGAUCAGCCCAUUGCUCUUAGGAAAGGGAAGAGACAGUGCACUCAACAUCCCAUUAACAAUUUUGUGUCUUAUGAAAAGUUGUCUCCUAAAUAUAAGGCAUUUGCUUCAACGUUGAGUAACAUUCAAAUUCCCAAGAAUAUCCAGGAGGCACUUGCUCAAUCUAAGUGGAAAAAAGCGGUUCUUGAGGAAAUUCAUGCACUUGAGAAGAAUAAUACUUGGGAAUAUAUAGAAUUGCCAGCUGGGAAGAAAUUGGUGGGAUGUAAGUGGGUCUUUACAGUUAAGCACAAUGCUGAUGGUAGUGUUGAUCGUUUCAAGGCAAGGCUGGUUACUAAGGGAUUCACGCAAUCAUAUGGUAUAGACUACGAUGAAACCUUCGCUCCGGUGGCCAAACUAAAUUCCAUUCGGGUGUUGCUCUCCCUUGCAGCUAACUUGGACUGGCCCCUACAUCAAUUAGACAUAAAGAAUGCCUUCUUGAAUGGGGAAUUGGAGGAAGAAGUCUUUAUGGAGGUUCCACCGGGAAUUGACACUAAAGAGAGCUUCAACAAGGUAUGCAAACUCAAGAAAUCCCUAUAUGGCCUAAAACAAUCACCUCGUGCUUGGUUCAAGAGGUUAACAAGGGUCGUUAAGAAGCUGAAUUUCAUUCAAUGUCAAACAGAUCAUACAAUGUUUGUCAAGAAGUCAGCUGAAGGUAAAAGAGCAGUAAUGAUUAUAUAUGUCGAUGAUAUAAUCCUAACUGGUGACAAUCUGGAGGAGAUUGAAAAACUGAAGAAUAUCCUGGCAGAAGAAUUCGAGGUUAAAGACCUAGGUCAACUCAAAUACUUCCUAGGUAUGGAGGUAGCUCGAUCACGAAAAGGAAUUGCAAUUUCCCAACGCAAAUAUACUCUUGAUCUUUUGAAGGAAACUGGUAUGCUUGGGUGUAAACCAGCUGACACACCCAUGGAUUCUACAAAUAAAACCGAGAUGGAAGAAGAAGGACCAUUAACGGACAAAGGGAGGUAUCAAAGAUUAGUUGGCAAACUAAUCUAUCUCUCGCAUACUCGGCCAGACAUUGGUUUCGCAGUAAGUAUGGUUAGUAGAUACAUGAACCGACCAACAGAAAAACACAUGCAGGUAGUUUUUCGAAUCUUACAAUACUUGAAGAAAAAUCCUGGAAGAAGGCUCUACUUUAAGAAAACGGAAGAGAGAAAUGUAGAGAUAUUCACUGAUGCAGAUUGGGCUGGAUCUCUCAUGGAUCGAAGGUCGACAACAAGGUAUUGUACCGUGGGGCAACAUGGUUACUUGGAGAAGCAAGAAGCAACCUGUUGUUGCUAGGAGCAGUGCUGAAGCGGAGUUUAGAGCAAUGUGUCAAGGAAUAUGUGAAGGCAUAUGGCUGAGAAGAAUAUUAAAUGAACUAGGAUUCACUAAAACCAAUCCUAUGUCAUUAUUAUGUGACAACAAAGCUGCUAUUGAGAUUGCCAAGAACCCGGUUCAUCAUGAUAGAACAAAGCAUGUGGAGAUCGAUCGACAUUUCAUCAAAGAAAAACUUGAGGAAGGAAUCUUGAAGCUCUCGUUUGUUCCGACCAAUUAUCAAACAGCGGAGAUACUGACCAAGGUUUUAUCCAAAAAUAGUUUCGAGACUCUAAGGUGCAAGCUGGGUAUGAUAGACAUUCAUAACCCAGCUUGAGGGGGAGUGUUGAAAAUCAGAAUGAUUUUCUGGUUAUUUUGUUUCCAGCUUUUCCAGAUUUUUCAGAUCUUUUAGAUUUAGAUUUUCUAGAUCUUUCAGAUCUUCUAGAUUUUCCAGAUUUUAUUUUUCCAGAUUUUAUUUGUUAGUUUUUAGGAAUUUGUUUACUAGCUUUUUAGGGUGCUGUAGCAACUAUAAAAAUGUUAGUGUCUCAUGUAAAUAUUAAUUCUCUGUAGAAUAAAAAACUCAGAGUAAUUUCUCUCAAAAUUCUUCAAGCAACAUUGUCUAUGUGUCCUUGGAACAAGCAUAAGAUAUUAUCGACAACCGCAAACAAUCUGCCACAGAGGGUAAGGCAUGUCAAAUCUUGAUGUGGAAUGAGCUGAUUAAGAAGCAGUACCACAAUUUCCAUCAAUUACCAAUCCAAUAAAUUUCAUUUUCUGUCUUUCAAAAUGAACUAAAGACUCGAGUUCCACUAUCUCCUUUAGGCUGAUAUAUAGAACCUUUCAAAAUAUCACAAUAAAGUCCACCAAAAAUCAGUUUGAUCUAACCAUUGCCUCUCCGAACAACGAAAUCAUAAUUUUUUUUUUGGUUAAAGCUACCAUUAUCAAGAGAUGGAGUGGGUAUUUGAAUAGAAGAAAGAUAAACUUUAUUCUUUGACCAGGUAAUCAGUUUUUAAAUGGGUUUCGGCCUGCAUGGUUCGUUCAAAAUUUAGCUGUUUCAUUUGCAUAUUCAAACGCCCGUUUUCAAUUUAUCCUUCUAUCUAUACAAUAACUGUUAUGGGAAGAAAGAAAGCUUCUUAUUUUGAAUAUCGACCUGAACAUGUUAAAAGGAUAUUAUCCCACCAAUUCACAUACAGAAUUUCAUAUAGUAUAUUUUGGCUAGGCAUGGCCUACAAUAUAGUUACUAAAAGCAAUUAUGUACUCAGAGUCAAAAGUACAAACUUUUAAAGCUAUUGGGAAAUGAUACUGCAUAUUCAAUGUUAAAAACUUGUGAUUUCUUUGGCUUGUGAUUUCUCAUUGGUCUUUUUUAUUGUUGCUAUUAUGGAUGCAUUUGAAAUUGAUUCCAUGGAGUAAAAGCCAUGCCAUUUCAGUCACUGUCAAAAUCUGCCAUUUGUUUUGCUGUUCUUUUGCAUUAUAUAGCUUGGCUCUCUGAUAAUAUAUCUCCUCUCAGUUUGUUUUAUUGAAGGAAUUCCAUCUAGGGUUCUUGUCUAUGAUUAAUAUUGUUCUGGUGGAAUUAACUCCAAAUGAUGUAGAUAGGUGGAAUACACAUAAUUUGGAAAUGAGAUGUAAGCGUCAUUGCAUGAUUGCAAAACUAAUGUAAUGGUAUCUGCCUUUCGGAUCAGUUUCAUGGGGUUGUUUUGUUCAAAUAUGGCCAUAUGGUAAUUGGCUCAAAUAUAUAUAAAAAGUAGAUAUGUUUAUGUAAUAAUCAUCAUAAUGUUAAUAAUCAUCAUAAUGUGAUUAUAAAUACAUAAAAUGAAGUCAUGGGCUUUGGCUUAAAUUAUUGAUUUAUUAUGCCUUAGAAAGCUGAAAUGUGAUAUACAGACAGAUUGUAAUGGAGUGAUAUGUGUUAUGUGCUCUGGCCUGCUGAGGUGAUGUCACCAUUUGAGUUGUUAAAUGUGUUUUGUUUCACAUGAUCAUGCUGCAUAUAUAUAUAUAUAUAUAUUUUGAGGGAGUGUGAGGGAAAAAGGACUUGGUUAUAUUGAUUUGCUGAUUAGGUGAUUUGCAAUCUUUCAAAUCCAAUUUGGUUGUUUUGGUGUUUGUAAUGUUGAAUGCUUAAAGUUCAUUAUAUUGGUAUUGCUUUUGAAACAUGUACAAGGUGGAUGUUUAGUGUCAUCUAUCCAUUGGCAAUAAUUUGGUCGAUAAUUUUUUUUCAUUUUGUGUAAGAAUCUUACUGUAGAAAUGGCUGUAUCGGUGUCUAGAUUUAAAUGUUCUGUGAUUCCAGGUAAUUUCAGCUUCACCGAGAAAAUUAUGGUAAAAUAUGCUGGAGCUGGUGCGAUGUAGUUUGUAUCCAAGAACCUGAAGAAGAAGUACAAUAUUACUGAUGAACGUGCUGCCCUCUAUGAUGCUGUGGAGACAUGGGUUGAUGCCUUAAGUGGCAGGGAGUUCUUGGGUAUGCACUCUAGAUAUGGAAUAGUUGCUUGAAACAUGCUUCUUUUGAUAAUUAUAUCAGUCUUUUACUCAUCUACUGACCUCUGUUGAUAGAUUGUGUAUUUAAUAUUUUCAGUGCAUGUAGUGUAGUCAUCUUGCAUUCUGCAAGACUGUUGUGAGGUAACUACCCCUCCCAAUAAAAGGGGGUUUUUUGUGAAAGCAGGAAGAUUUUGUGAUUUUACAUUUCUGGAUCAUCCUUGUCACACUUCACCUUGGAAGAGCCGCUGGCAUUUGCAUAGAUUGCUUUACUUGCAUCACUGGUUUUAUUUGUUCUGCACCUCACAUAGCUAUCCAACUCUUAACGGGUUCCUGCUUUAUACUAAAAAUUGCACUUGGUGAAAUUCUGUAAUUGUUCCUACGAGGCAACAAUCAAUUCCAUCUUUUAUAUUUUUUUUUUCUAAAUUUUCGAAUAAAUACUCUGAUACGUUAUUGAAAGAGUAGUAAAAUGUUCAUUUAGUGUUUGCUUUCUAGAAUAAUUCAUAUAGUGGUAAAAAAAUAAAACAAUGUCAAGUAUUUUAUCUGUCCACCCAGUGACAGUUAUUGACUUUAUUAUUGGUUCCUUACAAUGAUGUGCGUAAUGAAAUUAUCGCGCAGGAGCAUAGUGCAUGCAUACAAACUAGUUAUUCUUUAAGCCGGGAUGGCUUCAAAGAAAUGAGUAUGAUAAGGUUCAAAAUUAUACAUUUGUUAAGCAAGAGAUGUUAAUAGAUCAAUUUCUUAUGAGAAGAUUUUUAUUAUGUUUAUUAGCCUUGGGCCUGUAGAGAUGAUGGACAAAGGUUCUACCUUCUGAGAAAAUACUAAUGAAAGCAUCUCCACUGUGAGCUAUCGGGAUAUUAGACAAUUUGGUGUAUAGAUGAUGUCUCCAACCUACAUUAAAAAGUUGGGAUGGCAUGUAGGCAAUAAAAGAUAUGCUCUCUUAUUCUUGAAAGUAUUGGGAAAUUCAUCCUUCGCAAGAUCUAGGAAAUGUUCAUUAUUUAACGAUUCUUGAAGUGUGAACUUAUGGCAUGAUGCUUUGUGUUGCCGACCUUUUGAAGGACAUUAAGAUAAUGCUUGAGGUAAAAACCUUUUAUACGACUCAUAUAAAGCUUUUAUUGAUAUAGCUGUUGGUUGACAGCUUGAGAAAAGGUUAAUGCGCAAAAGGUUGUCUGUGAUCAUAUGCACCUUGUUCAUAAUAAUGUCUGCACUUUUGUGGUGAAGAUGUUUACUCAUCAUAAUAUCUGCUGUUUCAGGGGGCUCAAAGCCUAAUUUGGCCGAUCUUGCUGUCUUUGGUGUUUUAAGACCGAUCCGAUAUUUGAGGUCUGGUAAAGAUAUGGUGGAGCACACUCGUAUAGGGGAAUGGUACUCAAGAAUGGAGAGUGCUGUGGGAGAGUCCUCAAGGAUUAAGGCUUGAACUGGAAUCCUGUUAGAUUCAGGAGCAUGCUUUCUGCUUUUCAAACUGAUGCUCGCUAAUUGGUUCUGUAUCCAAGUAUAGCCACCUGUAGAAAAAGACGAGUCCAUAUCAUUCUUGAUUUUUUUUUCCCCAAGAUUUAUGACAUUUGGUGGUAAUAUAUGUAUUACCAAAAUUUUGGGAUUCUUUCAUCAUUGUUUCACUUUGUAAUAAACGUCCAACCAAUACGAAGGAAAGGAGGUGAUUUAUAUACACGAUUUUUCAGGACUGCUACAAAAAUGGUCGUUUCUUGUGUAUAAGCUGUUUUAUCUGGUUUGACUAUUGCCGGAAUCCUGGAACUGCGUCUAUUUAUGUUAUGAAAAAUGAGAAAUUCGUUUCCUUUCUUCUGUUCUUGGGCAAUCCGCUAAUUUUAACUCCCACGUUUUUGUUCCGGCAUAUGGGUCUGGAGUUUGUAUCAUCGACGGUAUGAGACAUGAAUGGAUAGGAACAGGGACUCUUAGAUUGAUAAGUCUUUUACUUGCUCAUAUGAUGGAUCAUUUUAUUGAUAAGAUGACACUGCAUUUAUAUGUAAAUGCCGUUUUAGGUAUGUCCUCUUGGUGAGUUUCUGGCUGAGUCGUUAAUUUUCAAACAAGUUCCAUUCUUUCCAUAUGGAUAAGCGAGUUCAAAUUCCCGUGAAAGCGGUCCCUUUUGUGCGGCGCUAACCCUACAUUGACCGAGUUGGUGCCGCGGCAUGGCAUUUGGGAUGGGGGCUGCAACGCCUGGGAUUUGAAUUGUGCUCGAAGAUGAAAAUUGUCUUUCCUGGUUAAGUCAUGUGGUACAGGUGAAAUGCAGAUUCAGUAGACAGUGGUCCUGGGAAGGUGCUAGUCUAGUAAUCCUUCUUGAUGAAGAUAUUGUAUGUUCUGCAUCGUUUCAAUUUUCAUCAGAUGCUUGGGAGACUUCUACGCAGGAAUGUAUUAGAUCUGCAUCGUUUCAAUUUCAUCAUAUGUCACUAAAUUUAAUGUGCUAUAAAUGGUGAUAUUCUUGUGUUUUUAUAAAAAUUGAGGUGUUUAAAAAUUACACGAAGCAUUGCAUCUUAUAAUUUGUAAACAGCUAAAUCUCUUGUCAUUAUAUGUGUUCAAAAACUUACAUAAUGGAUAAAUUUUUUAGAAAAAAUAUGUUGGAUUACUGAUAUUUUUAGGUCUGAUUUGCUUAUUUUGUAAAUUGAAGUCGAAAGAGUUUGGUAUUAGUCAAAUUUCAUGCAUUAAAUGUGGUCCAUGUCCAUCACCUUUUACUCAAUUAAUCUAUACGUUAAGGCCCCCAACCUACGGGAAGCUGAAGCUAUUUUCUUUUUGUGCCAAAUCUUCCUCUAGUUUUGUACUUCAUUGAAACUUAAGAGAUCAUACUGCAGAGACUGAGUAAAAUAUCUUUAAGUCUACAUCAAAAUCUGGGAGAAAGUGGAUAGUGAGUCUACAUAUAGAUAGGUGGAGACCUGAUUGAAGUGAUGGAUGGUGCUCAUAGUAUACUCGAUGUGUAUGGAGAUCCAUGAACAUGUUGAAUACGUAUUUUGUGCAGAAGAAUUAAACAAAAAGAAGUGGACAUCAAGAAUUUUUCUAAGCAGGACUGCUAGAUUAGCUGUGCAGCCUGUGCUAUGUAGAUGGUACAUCUAUCAAAACCAUUACUUAUGUCAGAAAUUUUAGUGAGAGCUCAUAUGUCAAUAAGAUGAGACUGUAAUUAUUUCAUCUACACAGGUUUUUAAAAUAACAAGAGGGGCAUAGCCAAUGCGAAGGUCUAAAGAGGUCUCUCCAACCAGAAUGGUCAGGCAAAGUGUUUGUUUGUUUGUUUGUUUUUUUUCGGUUGUUGUUAAUCUGCAAUUUGACGUUAGUCAUCACAUUGAAAGCCAUUCCAUCUUGCUUCGUGUUAAGUUUGUAUUGGCAUGCAUCAAGUUCCCUGUGACUGCCUUGAAAUUGCACAAGAGUUUGCCGCUUUGGCCUUAAUAUCUAAGAUGCUAUCGUUCUGUUAUUAAAGUUCACAUGACCCUUCACAAGGCGUUGUGUAAACUUGAUUUCCAUAUGAAAACCAGCAUGCUCCAAGUUAUGUUGGUUCACAUUUGUUCUCAUAUAACAAUAUCAUCCCGGUCUGAUUUACCAGUAGAGAUUCUAUGCAAAAAAACAUUAUGUUGAAUAAACUCUGCAUGAUGGCUUAGACGAAAUGCCAGAAAGAUAUUACUGCACAAAGCAUGAUCAGGUUCUGUAGAGGCUUGGUUUUAUAAGCAACAUAUACAACUGCAUAAAACAAUGUCAGACUCUCAACAUAGAGUAACCAACCAUUAGAGCUGGAAAAUUGUCAAUGUAUGAGAAAGGGUGACUGGGCUAUAAGCAACAGAAGGCCAUUCAAUAGCUAAUGGCCUGGCCAAAAAAGGGCCACAAACCAUAUGACUAGGCAGUGCAAAGGACCAGUUCGCAGCACUCCCAACUCUAGGCAUGUUGGACUCCUCAGUCUCUGCACCACUUUGAAUGUGGUGCCGUGCACUUGGCCUGAGCUAUCUACCCUAGGAACUGGCUUCACCUCAUUCGGUGGGUGCUCAUAACUCCGCAAACCUCCAGAGCUGGUGAAGAAGCAUCCUGAGUUCAAAAAAGAAGGCAAUGUUAAAAGGUGAAUGAUUUGGCGCUUGAAAACCAUUGGAAGAGCAACAUUGUAGGUUAAAAUGCACAUUUCAAAACAUGCAUACAGGUAAAGAACAUCACUUUAACCUUAGAUUAUAAAUUUAGGUUCAGAACCAAUUUUUCCAGUAUGAUGUUACCCAACAACAUAACAUUCUCCCCUGAACUCUGCUUAAUAUCAGCAGAGCUCAUCCAUCCUUACUUUUCACAUUGCAAUGCAUGGACUGAGCUCCAAUGGAGCCAUAUCAACAAACCGAAAAAAUAAUUACCUUUAGGGAAUGGUGUGAAAGAUUUCCCAAAGCCCAUCUUCAGGACUUCUGCAUCAUCUGAGAGAACAAGACUGCCUCCAGAAUCAAUUCCCCAGAAGAAAGCAACACUUCCAUCAACAUCCUGCAUGAUUCAGAGAACGGAAAGGAUUAGAUAUAGAUCGCAGGUGGAGGGAGAGAUUGCGAGCGAUACACAGAACGAAAUCAAUGAACAUUAUUAUUACUCACAGAGGCCUGAAAAGCGGUUUUAGAAGAGCACAAAACCAAACUUCCUGCUGAUGUCUCUCACAACUUGAUCAGCAGGGUAAGGCCUCCGAUCCUUCAGAGUUCAAUAAGCCUCUAUGACGAUAAUGACCUCAUUAGAGGUUUUAUUCCAUCCAUAUUGCUGCUUAAGAAGCAACAUUGUCUAUGUGUCCUUGGAACAAGCAGGAGAUAUCAUCAACCGCAAACAAUCUGCCACAGAGGGUAAGGCAUGUCAGAUCUCCAUGUGGGAUGAGCUGAUUGAGAAGAGAAGACAGUACUGCAACUUCCGUCAAUUAACACUCCAAUAAAUUUCAUUUUCUGGCUUCAAAAUGAACUAGAGACUCCAGUUCCACAAUCUCAUUUAGGCCGAUAUAUGGAAUCUUUCAUGAUAUCACAAUGAAGUCCAAAAGAAAUCAGUUUGAUCUAACCGUUGCCUCUCUAAACAAUGAAAUCACGAUUUUCUUUUUUUGGGUGUGGCUAAAGCUACCAUUAUCAAGAGAUAGAGUGGGUACUUGAAUAGAAGAAAGAUAUACUUUAUUCUUUGAUCAGGUAAUCAGCUUUUAAAUGGGUUUCAGCCUGCAUGGUUAAUUCAAAAUUUAGUUGUUUCAUUCGCAUAUUCAAACCUCUGUUUUCAAUUUAUCCUUCCAUCUAUACAAUAACUGCUAUGGGAAGAAAGAAAGCUUCUUAUUUUGAAUAUCGACCUGAACAUGUUAAAGGAUAUUAUCUAACCAAUUCACAUGCGGAAUUUCAUAUAGUAUUUUUUGGCUAGGCAUGGCCCACAAUAUAGUUACUAAAAGCAAUUCUGUACUUAAGAGUCAAAAGUACAAACUUUUAAAGAGAUUGGCAAAUGAUACUGCAUAUUCAAUGUUAAAAACUUAAAGACUCAUCCUUCCAUAAGCCCUAAUCAAAAUGACAAACGAGGGUUGCUGUUACUGUGAGUACAUCCUGUGUAUCAGCAGAAAUCCUCUCUUCAUCCUUUUUUGCUUUCUCUCUGUAACAAAGCCUCAUUUUAUGUUUUGUAAGGUAAUGUGAUGUGAUCCCAUUGAACCACUCUUGGCUGAUGAAAAGAACUAAACUCACCUGACUCAACAAGGACUGAAAUAUCUUCUUAUGAUCCUGGAAAUUCCCACGGAAAGGCACCACCUUGCCUUGAGAAACCAUCCAGAGCUUGCCAUGCUUCUAGAUAUUGGAUGCUCAUUGUCACCAACCUGCAAAUCAAGGUAAAAAGAUGGCUAUUAGCUGUAAAGACGAUCCAUCAUUGGUCAAAUUGAAGUAUUUUGGCAAAAAAAUCAAUCUCACUGUCAGACAUCUUCCUUGGAACAAGACCAGACCUUGAAUGACUGCCUCAACCGCAUCCAAAUCCUGCAGUUUGGGAUAGUAAAAAACGUAGAAUCAUACUCAUCAAUCCUUUGACAAGAAACGAGGAAUUUGCAGAUAAACACUUUAGAAGUCAUAGGCCAUUAAAGUAGAACUUAAAGUCCACAUUUAUAAACAAAGAAAUUUCCACAUUAAUUAUGUGCAAAACCCAAUGCUGCCUAUAGGAUAUGGAACUACUUGGUAUUAUAGAUUAUUGUAAUACAAAAACACUGAUCAUGCUAACAUACAUGUUUGAUUUCCAAUAAUUUGCCAGUUGGACAAUUAGAUUGGUUUCUGUUCCAUUAUAAGUUAGAUUUAAGAUGGCAGAGGCUCCCUGUUGUGAUCACUAAUAGGUUCCAUUGUAUUUUCAAUGUAAAGACCAGAUUCCUAUAAGUUCAAUUAGUGCAAGAGCAACAUAACAAGCUAACUGAAAAAGUAAUCAAA